rnacentral:lncRNA from 1 species
UAUGUGAUAGUUCAUUUAAAAUCUCUAAAAAGGCGAAUAUUUAGGAACGGAGGGAGUAAUUCACAGUAGAAUAUACUACCGUUUAUGUCAUACACACACUAAUAAUAACUUGGUAAUUCAGCAGGGUUUCAACAACAUAACAAACUUGGUAAUCCAGCAGGAGUUUAAGGAAUUCAACAGGGUUUCAACAACAUAACAAAAUUGGAAAUUCAGCAGGGUCUCAACAGCAUAACAGACCACGACAGUACCAAGGGAGUGCUACUAGUGAGCAUCCGACAGAUUACUGCUGCACACCAUUACAGCAGCAUACACACACAUACACAUAACAGAACGGAGGAGAGGCGAAAGCAUCAAGUGAAGGCCGUCACUCAGUCAGUGGCGACCCAGCGGCCUGUUUCUGCGGCCUGAUCCAGUCCUGCAGCACCAUGGUCACCCUGUCGUGCUGCCUCACGGAGGAGCCGUGCAGGAGAGGGGCGGCGCGGGCGAGGACGCGGUUGUAGUGGACGUACUCCUUCUGCCGGAACCUCUCCUGUUCGGGCGGCGUCAUCUCGUCCCACUGGGCGUGCAGCUUCUCCGACAGGCUCCAGUCGAUGUUGUACCUGGUUGCGCCGAAGCACGUCUGGCUCAGGACACGCCUCGCCAGGGUCUGCAGGUCGGGCACGCGAGCCCCGUGCGUCGACCACCAUUCAACUGCAAAUGUCGAGUGAAGCGCGGUAAGAAGGUGCGUAAUUCAUGUAGUAUGAUAUGAAUGGAUGAAUGAAAUGGUGAUCAUCUCAGUGGGUGUAAAUGUUUGGGUUUGAAAGUUGAAGUGAAAAUGGAGGAAGAGAAGGCUCCUGUACAGUUUAAGCAGACCAUAUACCCCAGUUUGCAACUUGCAACUAACUAAGCAGCUAUGUUGACAAGCUUAGGCUGAUGCAGAGAACUUGAUUAUUCUACACGUUCAUCUGUAAACCUUUUAACUUCUCUACUACUCCCUCUGUCCCAUAAUGCAAAAACGUCUUACAUAUGGAACGGCGGGAGUAUUUAUUUAAACAACCAUGUCGACAAGUUAGGCUAAUGCAGAGGAGUUGAACUUUGAAUAGAAGUGCACUUAUGACAUGAUAUAUUUGUGCCAUGUUCACAUGCUAACUAAAUAUGUUGGCGCACUGUAUGUUACGGUGCACAAAUGCACAUACCAGAUUUUGUGGAGGACCUCAGACACUAUUCCAGCUUACUCUAAAGAUUGGAAAAAAUCAAGUACAUAUGACACAUAAAGGCACUACCGUCAGUGGCUUGUUAGGGAGUGGUCAUUUUGCAAUAGGUUAGGGUGUAGCUUACCUUGUGGUAAUUCCAUGAUUUGCUGCAUUGCUGGAUCUGUGUCGAAAUAGCCCAACUUCUUUUCAUACACUUCCAAUUGUGCAGACGCUUUUCUGGCAUUGUAAUGAGCCUUGUCCAGUUGGAUUGUGCAUGCCGCGAUGCCGCUGCUGAUCUCAGCAUCAGGCUGGAAUCCAGCUGUGUAAAACAACCUUGGGUUUAGCAUCUGACCAGCAGCAUGGAGGGGACUAUGCAAGUAACCAUCCCAUAUCCUGUCAAUCAUACACCAAUAGAAGUCACUUUCAUAUCCGACACUGAGAGAUAUCUCUUCUUUUGCUCUGUCCAUGGCUUCAUACAAGAUACCCAUCGCACAGAUAUCAGAUUCCAGUUUAUACAACACACUGACAAGUGGUUUUGUAACCUUCACGACUUCAGCAGCAGCAUGCCAAAAUUCAUCGUCUGUCUUUACUAUGCUCUGGAUAUGCUCAAACAAAUCAAGACAAGCCCAACCAGAGGGAACCCACUUAGGCGAGCUGAACAUCUGCACCAGACCUACUCUUGCAGAAACUAACCUCUCUAAUGUGAUGAACACUGCCACAAAUCUCAGAUAAGAACUGCUCAAAAUCUCCACCUGAACAUAUCUUCCUUUCAGUUUCAUUGGCAGUGCAUGGCCAUAUAAAAACCUUGUAAUUUCCCUUGCCUUCAUUAGGACUUCACUGACAUGCUCGAGCGCUGCUAUUUUCUCAAGCAGAAGGUUGAUGCAAUGGUCAGCACAUAGCACGAAGAAAAAACUGUCAUAUUUAUUUAGCACAUACUGCCGUGCCAUCUGCAUAUGGGGUGACACGUCAUUCAUGACAAUCUGAACAAUGUUAUGGGCACCGACAUCAUCAACCACGCGAGAAAGCAUUGACUCUAGCUCAUCCAAGUCCUCAGUGAUUUCAGAGACGUCAAUGGAUGUGAGGAACUGCGUACCUUUGCUGCAGUGCACCAGGACACUUACGAAGCUUUUGUCACACUUGCUCUUCCAACUAUCAACAAUUACAGUGCAGCCACUUGUUUGCCACUCUUGCUUGAGUUCCUUUGCGCGGUUCUCAGUUUCUCUUAGUUGCUCCUGCAGAACAGCUUCGUACGUAGGCUCAGGUGCAGGUUUGGAGAAGAACUUGCCUAUUGAUUUUGCUGACGGAGAAUCGAAGUAAUCACUUGCCUCAACCUUGGGUUUCAGUUGACAAGAAUUAUAUGUGAUUUCCUUGGGCUGCCUCAAAUACGGUAGAAAAUGAAGAAAGCAGCGGUUAUUGGAUACAGUUGGUUGUAGCUGUGGUUGCUGGACUUGAGCAGAUGGAAGGGCUGGGCUUGUGUGAGGAACCUCAUCAUGUUCAUGCUUCCGUGUCUUCAUUUUUCUGAGCAUCCAAGCUUUCUCUUCUUGCGAUCCACAAGUGAACUCCUUAAGCUUGUGCUGGCAUUGCCCCUGAUGUCUGCUAAAUGGUGCUCUAGGCGGUUGUAACUCAAAACCACCUUAACGCAGUAAUUGCAGCUCACUCUGCAACCUUCCUCAUCAAUGGUUUUGCCAUGCCUUUCUUUUCCACGGCUACUUGUCUGAGGAUAUUGUACAGAAAAAACCUGAAGGAAAGCAAUGAGAGAUACUUCAGUAAUGCAAAAAUUAAAAUGUCAAAUUCCCAAAACAUGAGUGCAACAUUUCACCAAUGAUUAGAUUUCAUCUGCUUCCUCUUAAUGACAGCACAUGAUGUAUGCUAGUGAUGAAUUUACCACAUGUCAACAGAGAAGACUGUGAUCCAACUAAACACUGUACCUUAGAAGUUUAUAAACACAGUAUUACUGGAUGAAACAGUUUGUUCUGUAUUUUUUUUCCCAAUAAAGAACAGUUUGUCUGUAUAACUCUUCAAGAAGAACACAUAAAGACUGCACGAUGAUCUUACAAAGCCAGUAACAUACCCCCUCUGACACCCUCCUCUCCCCCGCCGCUUGAUCUCCCUCCUCCGGCCAACUCCUCCACAACAAAGAGCAGAUCCGGAACCCUCUCGCCACCCAUCCCGAAGUCCAGCGGCGCCGUCACCAGGGUCGGAGCCGCCGUCGACCUCCACGCCUGACUUCAUCCCAGCUCGCUCGCUCCCGUACGGCCCCCUCGGCCGCACCGGGGCGCCCCAGCCGGCCGCCGUCGGCCUACCCUGCCUCGCCCCUCCCCCUCGCCGCCGCUGGAGGGUGCCGUCUGGGCAAAGUCUGGGCGGCACGGGCGGCAGCGGGGCCUCAACUGUCUUUGGCGGCGCUGGUUCUCGGGGCUCCGACGGGGGCCUCGUGAUCCCGUGCGGUGCCAGGCGUGCUGCCCGACGGGGGUCUGUGCAGCGCUCGGGCGACGGCUCCGGCCGCGAGGGGCGCGGUGGUGCGCGGAUCGGGGUGUGUGCACCGCUCAGCGGCUGUGCUGAUUGCGCCCGGUUUCCUUUAGUACUGUAUAUCUGUUUUUCGCUCGGUGUUUCCUAAUUAAUCAAGAAACUUAUCUUUUUAAUGAAUGCAGAAAUCCCGUCAUUCGGAAAAACAAUACCCCUCUGAAACAAAUGGCGUGCAGUGACUUUUUUCCUGAUACUAAAAUUAAAAAAAGUUCAUAGUUUUAGCAAUUCCUUCAAAUCGGCUCAAACCCCUUUCAAAAUCUAACAUUACGCUGCCCAAUUCACAAAAAACAGACAAAACCUAAAAUGGAGAAAGGGGAAUUCUUCGGGCAUGCUCCAAUGCACACCCUCUGUGUAGAAGAAAGCCGCAAAUGACUUUGACUGUUUGCCAUUUCUGGACAUUGACGAGACGACGGGUUUUAGUUGAGGAAAGGACAUUCACUGAUGGGUGGGUGAACAAAUUUUGUUGGAGAACAACAUUUCAUUCUUUUUACCAUGAUAUGCUUUUAAUAGUUAGAUCAGCAAUUAUUUCUGAAAUCGCGGUCACCAGAAAAGGCAACAGAAACUUCGGUGGAUUAUUGGGGCAAACCUUGAUGAACCAAGCAUGGUUCGAAAGAGAAUCCUACGGGGGUGGAUGUGUACUAGAGAGACAUUGGAAAACAAACAAAGAUAGGCUGGAAAAAAUGUAAAACCCAAGUGAGAUGGGUGUUGUGUUGGAUACAUAUUCCCUUGAUUGGUUACUUCGGAGAACUUCAUCGGCAUAAACACAAAAUUCCAAAGAACACCUUGGGAUAAUCCUAGUUCUUAAUGCUGCAUUUGAACAAUGAGAUUUCAAAAAAAGCCUGAGAAAUAUGCAUUUAGUUCUAAUAUACUCCCUAGAAAAACAGAAAUGGUAUCAACAAAAAACCUUUUAUGCUCCUAGUGAAUAAAUUGCUUUUACUUACCUUUGACUUUAGAUCUCGUCUUCUCCGUUCCAAGUGGGGCAAUGGUUGUGGUGCGCUAGAAAAGGGUGAAUGGUGCGGCGCGUCUGGGCCUUGCUAUAAUCCUAGUUGAAUAUCUUAACGCACUUACUGCACUUGAACAAUGAGAUUUCCAUGGAAGCCUGGGAAAUAUGCAUUUAGUUCUAAUAUGCUCCCUAGAAAAUACAAAAGAUGGUAUGAAUAGAAUCCUUUAUGCUCCUAGAGAAUAAAUUAUUUUUUCUUACCUUUGACUUUGGAUCUCGCCGUCUUCGUCCAAGAUGUAAAAAGAGGAUGGCCUGGGCAGCGACUGUGGUGCGUCGGGAAAGGGCGGAUGGUGCAGUGCGUCAGUGCCUUAGAAUACCACAAUCUCACCUAAGAGGAAACACAUAGAUGAUGGAUUUACGAGGGCAAACAUAUCUAGAGAGUGGAAGUGGCGGCGGUGGAUGGAGGAGAAGAUAGUUAGAUCUGGACAAUGUUCAUGGUUGCCGGUGGAGGAGAAGAUAGUUAGGUCUAAGGAGUGGUGGCGGCGGCGACGGAUGGAGGAGAAUAUGGUUAGAUCUAGACAAUAUUGAUGGUUGCAGGUGGAGGAGAAGAUAGGUGGGUCUAGAUAAUGUUGAUGGUUGUGUCGUGUGGGAGGGGAUGGCUUUAUAGUCGCGCGGUUUGGGACUAGGGGUGCGACCACGAUCCGCGUGAUGUGGGGUGCGGGCCGUCAGAUUGGAGAUGGGUGGCGGAGAAUGGGGUAAAGGAGGUGGCGCGGAUAGGUGACGUGGCGGGGUAGGCGUGUUUCUUUUCUAAGGGUGAGGUAGGGUGCGGGGAUGCGAGGAAGGCGCGUGCGUCUCGGGUAGGUGGAUGCCAGUUGGGACCGGGCGUUUUUUGGACGGAUUGCUUUUGGGCACGGCGUUGCUCGCUAUCGCAAGUUUUGGAUGGGUAUCUGGUCGAUGGGCCCAUGAGGUGUGUGGUCGUGACGAGACUAGUGCGAAGGCGUAAACUCAGAUUAUUGCUAGGACAAUUUGGAAAGCGUAUUUCUAUGUUUUCCACGGUCAAUUGAUACGAGGGGUGCUUCUUUCAGGUAUUGUAUAACACGCCUCAACAAAAAAAAAGUACUCCCUUUGUUCAACUAUUAUCUAGUUGUAGCUCAGCAGCGGCUGUCACGCCACAUAACACCUCGACUUGCCCCCCAGGGUCUCGGGGAGUUAGCGACAUAGCCGCCGACGUUUGAUGGCAAUGACGCCCCUCCUCUCCUUGUUGUGUUGUGUUUCGUGGUCACUACCACACUCUAGCUUUUUCUUUCUGAUCAACGUGGCGCUCAGUGGUGGCAGAGAGGAGGGAGGAGGUGGCAAGAGCGAGGAAGGAACUGGGGUUUUGGGGCAAGAUGGAAAUGACUUUGUCUGUUUGCCAUUUCCGGAGAUAGACGAGACUAGGGGCUUUAAUAGUUGGAGGGACAUCUACAGGUAGGUGGGUGGGUGGAACAAUUUUCUUUGGGAGAAAUAGCCUUUCUAUCGGCAUUCUGGGAACAAGGGUACCCAGACUUGCCUGCCUGCGGCCCAUGGCGUGGCUCCAUCGACGGCCUGGUACGGCCCAUCCACAACACCUUCAAGACAAGACCCUCGCAAGGGGCCAAGCCUCGCGAGGCGGGCAACAUCAAGACCUCCGGGGGGAGCGGCCUGAAGGAAAUAUGCCCUUGAGGCAAUAAUAAAGUUGUUAUUUUAUAUUUCCUUAUAUCAUGAUAAAUAUUUAUUAUUCAUGCUGGAAUUGUAUUAACCGGAAACUUGAUAGAUGUGUGGAUACAUAAACAAAACACCGUGUCCCUAGUAAGCCUCUACUAGACUAACUUGUUAAUCAAAAAUGGUUAAGUUUCCUAACCAUAGACAUAUGUUGACAUUUGAUGAAUGGGAUCACAUCAUUAGGAGAAUGAUGUGAUGGACAAGACCCAUCCGUUAGCUUAGCAUAAUGAUCGUUCAGUUUUAUUGCUAUAGCUUUCUUCAUGUCAUAUACAUAUAUUCCUUUGACUAUGAGAUUAUGCAACUCCCGGAUACCGGAGGAAUGCCUUGUGUGCUAUCAAACGUUACAACGUAACUGUAUGAUUAUAAAGAUGCUCUACAGGUAUCUUUGAAGGUGUUUGUUGGGUUGGCAUAGAUCGAGAUUAGGAUUUGUCACUCCGAGUACCGGAGAGGUAUCUCUGGGCCCUCUCGGUAAUGCACAUUGAUACAUCUCCAACGUAUCUAUAAUUUGUUAUUGUUCCAUGCUAUAUUAUAUUCUGUUUUGGAUGUUUAAUGAGCUUUAUUAUACACUUUUAUAUUAUUUUUGGGACUAACCUAUUAACCGGAGGCCCAACCCAAAUUGCUGUUUUUUGCCUAUUUCAGUGUUUCGCAGAAAAAGAAUAUCAAACGGAGUCCAAACGGAAUGAAACCUUCGGGAACGUGAUUUUCGGAACAAACGUGAUCCAGAGGACUUGGAGUCCACAUAAAGAAAUCAACGAGGAGAGAACGAGGCAGGGGGCACGCCUACCCCCCCAGGCGUGCCCUCCACCCUCGUGGGGCCCACAUUGCUCCACCGACGUACUUCGUCCUCCUAUAUAUACCUACGUACCCCCAAACCAUCAGGGGCAUCCACGAAAACCUAAUUCCACUGCCGCAACCUUCUGUACCCGUGAGAUCCCAUCUUGGGGCCUUUUCCGGCGCUCCGCAGUAGGGGGCAUUGAUCACGGAGGGCUUCUACAUUGUGACGCCCGGAUAUUUAAGCGACAGUAAUUCCCUGUUAGUCAUGCCGUGUCACCUUAGUUACUGUUGCUAAUCUCGCGUUAGUUCAAAACCAAUUCAAAAUCAAGUCAAACAUUUAAAGUUUUCAAAAGUCAAAACUAAAAUGUUGUAAAGGUGUUAAAUAAAUCAUGGGUAAUAAUGGUGGAGAAACCUAAAUUUAAUAAAAUGUUUAAGUGUUCAAAAUAAUUAAAAUAGAGGUUUAAAUAUUAAAAUAAAUGCCUUUUGAAUUUUAUAAAAUAUUAAACUAUUUUAAUUUGGGUUGUGAAUUAAUGUGGCAAUAGUAUAUUUUAAAGUAUUAAUUUAAGUGCUAGUGAUAAUUUUUAUAAAACUAAAAUAAAAGAAAACUAAAAGUAAAACGGUAAAAGAAAAAUAAAUAAAAAGAAAAGAAACAAAACAGAAAAAUAACUAACAAAAAAAAAGAAAAGAACCCUCAGGCUCCGGCCCAGCAGGCCUGCAGCCCAACCGGGCCACCAGGCCGGCCACUCCCCAUAUCCCCCUCUCACCCGAAACCCUAACCCCCCACGCACACCACUCCCCCACUCGCGCCCCCACUCUCCCCCUNNNNNNNNNNNNNNNNNNNNNNNNNNNNNNNNNNNNNNNNNNNNNNNNNNNNNNNNNNNNNNNNNNNNNNNNNNNNNNNNNNNNNNNNNNNNNNNNNNNNNNNNNNNNNNNNNNNNNNNNNNNNNNNNNNNNNNNNNNNNNNNNNNNNNNNNNNNNNNNNNNNNNNNNNNNNNNNNNNNNNNNNNNNNNNNNNNNNNNNNNNNNNNNNNNNNNNNNNNNNNNNNNNNNNNNNNNNNNNNNNNNNNNNNNNNNNNNNNNNNNNNNNNNNNNNNNNNNNNNNNNNNNNNNNNNNNNNNNNNNNNNNNNNNNNNNNNNNNNNNNNNNNNNNNNNNNNNNNNNNNNNNNNNNNNNNNNNNNNNNNNNNNNNNNNNNNNNNNNNNNNNNNNNNNNNNNNNNNNNNNNNNNNNNNNNNNNNNNNNNNNNNNNNNNNNNNNNNNNNNNNNNNNNNNNNNNNNNNNNNNNNNNNNNNNNNNNNNNNNNNNNNNNNNNNNNNNNNNNNNNNNNNNNNNNNNNNNNNNNNNNNNNNNNNNNNNNNNNNNNNNNNNNNNNNNNNNNNNNNNNNNNNNNNNNNNNNNNNNNNNNNNNNNNNNNNNNNNNNNNNNNNNNNNNNNNNNNNNNNNNNNNNNNNNNNNNNNNNNNNNNNNNNNNNNNNNNNNNNNNNNNNNNNNNNNNNNNNNNNNNNNNNNNNNNNNNNNNNNNNNNNNNNNNNNNNNNNNNNNNNNNNNNNNNNNNNNNNNNNNNNNNNNNNNNNNNNNNNNNNNNNNNNNNNNNNNNNNNNNCGCGCCGCACACGCGCGCCGCGCCCGCGCCCGCCUGUGGCCCCUGGGCCACUGCCAGGUGGGGCCCCGCGCCCCUGAGCCACUGCCCCUGGGCCCGAACCCCCUAUGGGCCACAGACAGGUGGGCCCCGCGCCUAGAACGUAAUUAAAAAAAGGAAAAAGGGGAAUUAAAAAGAAUAAUAAUAUAUAAAUAAAGAAAGAAAGAAAAUAAAAAUAAAAUAAAAUAAAAAUAAUUAAUUAAUUAGUUAAUUAACCCUGUUUAGAUUAAUCUAAUUUAAUUAAUUAGUUAAUUAAUUAGUUAACCCUAAUUACCCUAAUCAGUCUAUGACAUGUGGGACCCACAUGUCAGAUGACUGCUGACGUCAGCAUGAUGUCAUGCUGAUGUCAUCGCAACACUGUUUCGGAUAAUGUAUAUAUUAAAUAAUUAAAUAAAUUCCAGAAAUUAAUAAAUUCUUUUAAAAUCAAUAUAAAAUAAACCGUUGCUCAGAUGAAAAUACUUUGUACAUGAAAGUUGCUCAGAACGACGAGACGAAUCCGGAUACGCAGCCCAUUCGUCCACCACACAUCCCUAGCAUAGCAAACAGGCAACUUUCCCCCUCCGGUUCGUCUGUCCGAAAAUGCGGAACACCGGGGAUACUUUCCCGGAUGUUUCCCCCCUUCGCCGGUAUCACUUACCACUACGUUAGGUCACCCCUAGCACCGCAUAUUGCCGUGUCUUGCUUUGUGUUACAUUUGAUUGCUCUGUUAUUUAUUGUGUUCCCCCUCCGUCACUUCUUUUCGGUAGACUCUGAGACCGGUGCCGAUGUCCGUGAGUUCGACUACACCGAAGAUGACCCCUCCUUCUUGCCAGAGCAACCAGGCAAGCCCCCCCCUUGAUCACCAGAUAUCGCCUAUUCUUCUCUAUACUGCUUGCAUUAGAGUAGUGUAGCAUGUUACUGCUUUCCGUUAAUCCUAUCCUGAUGCAUAGCCUGUCAUUGUUGCUACAGUUGUUACCCUUACCUGCUGUCCUACUGCUUAGUAUAGGAUGCUAGUGUUCCAUCAGUGGCCCUACACUAUUGUCCGUCUGGCAUGCUAUACUACUGGGCCGUGAUCACUUCGGGAGGUGAUCACGGGUAUAUGCUAUAUACUUUAUAUACAUGACACAUUUGGUGACUAAAGUCGGGUCGGCUCGUUGAGUACCCGCAGGUGAUUCUGAUGAGGGGGCUGAAAGGACUGGUGGCUCCAUCCUGGUAGAGGUGGGCCUGGGUUCCUGACGGCCCCCGACUGUUACUUUAUGGCGGAGCGACAGGGCAGGUUGAGACCACUAGGAGAGAGGUGGGCCUGGCCCUGGUCGGCGUUCGAGAUCUUGGUAUUUGAUCUGAGUCUGGCCAUUUGGUCUAUACAGACUAACCAACUAAGCGGGAACAGUUAUGGGCACUCGACGUCGUGGUAUCAGCCGAAGCUCUUCUUGACGUCAGCGACGGAGCGGCGCGCGCCGGAUUGGACUGGAACGCCUGCUAGGCUAGGUCUGCUUCCGGCCGCGUACGCAACGUGCAGGUGUGCAAUGGGCGAUGGGCCCAGACCCCUGCGCGCAUAGGAUUUAGACCGGCGUGCUGACCUCUCUGUUGAGCCUAGGUGGGGCUGCGACGUGUUGAUCUUCCGAGGCCGGGCAUGACCCAGAAAAGUGUGCCCGGCCAAAUGGGAUCGAGCGUGUUGGGUUAUGUGGUGCACCCCUGCAGGGAAGUUUAUCUAUUCGAAUAGUCGUGUCCCUCGGUAAAAGGACGACCCGGAGUUGUACCUUGACCUUAUGACAACUAGAACUGGAUACUUAAUAAAACACACCCUUCCAAGUGCCAGAUACAACCCGGUGAUCGCUCUCUAACAGGGCGACGAGGAGGGGAUCGCCUGGUAGGAUUUAUGCUAUGUGAUGCUACUUGGAGGACUUCAAUCUACUCUCUUCUACAUGCUGCAAGAUGGAGGCUGCCAGAAGCGUAGUCUUCGACAGGAUUAACUAUCCCCCUCUUAUUCUGGCAUUCUGCAGUUCAGUCCACCGAUAUGGCCUUUUACACAUAUACCCAUGCAUAUGUAGUGUAGAUCCUUGCUUGCGAGUACUUUGGAUGAGUACUCACGGUUGCUUUUCUCCCUCUUUUUCCCUCUCUAUACCUGGUUGUCGCAACCAGAUGCUGGAGUCCAGGAGCUAGAGAUCCCGAGGAUGAUUCUACAUGGAGUUCGGCUUCAAGGAGUAGUUAGGAGGUCCCAGGUAGGAGGCCUUGCCUUUUCGAUCGUUGCUACUUUUGUGCUAGCCUUCUUAAGGCAAACUUGUUUAACUUAUGUUUGUACUCAGAUAUUGUUGCUUCCGUUGACUCGUCUAUGAUCGAGCACUUGUAUUCGAGCCCUCGAGGCCCCUGGCUUGUAUUAUGAUGCUUGUAUGACUUAAUUAUGUUGUAGAGUUGUGUUGUGAUAUCUUCCCGUGAGUCCCUGAUCUUGAUCGUACACAUUUGCGUGCAUGAUUAGUGUACGGUCAAAUCGGAGGCGUCACAUACAUCAACACCAUAGCCUCUUCGAUGAUGUGUGAGUAGUUUACCUCAGACCUUCGGGUCCAUAGUUAUUAGAUAGAUGGCUUCUUCUCUCUCUUUGGAUCUCAAUACAAAGUUCUCCUCCUCUUGGAGAUCUAUUCGAUGUAAUCUUCUUUUGUGGUGUGUUUGUCGAGACCGAUGAAUUGUGGGUUUAUGAUCAAGUUUAUCUAUGAACAAUAUUUGAAUCUCCUCUGAAUUCUUUUAUGUAUGAUUGGUUAUCAUUGCAAGUCUCUUCGAAUUAUCAGUUUGGUUUGGCCUACUAGAUUGAUCUUUCUUGCAAUGGGAGAAGUGUUUAGCUUUGGGUUCAAUCUUGCGGUGCUCGAUCCCAGUGAUAGAAAGGGAAACGACACGUAUUGUAUUGUUGCCAUCGAGGAUAACAAGAUGGGGUUUAUAUCAUAUUGCAUGAGUUUAUCCCUCUACAUCAUGUCAUCUUGCUUAAAGCGUUACUCCGUUCUUAUGAACUUAAUACUCUAGAAGCAUGCUGGAUAGCGGUCGAUGUGUGGAGUAAUAGUAGUAGAUGCAGAAUCGUUUCGGUCUACUUGUCGCGGACGUGAUGCCUAUAUACAUGAUCAUGCCUAGAUAUUCUCAUAACUAUGCUCAAUUCUAUCAAUUGCUCGAGAGUAAUUUGUUCACCCACCGUAAUACUGAUGCUCUUGAGAGAAGCCACUAGUGAAACCUAUGGCCCCCGGGUCUAUUUUCCAUCAUAUUAAUCUUCCAACUUAGCUAUUUCUAUUGCCGUUUAUUUUACUUUGCAUCUUUAUCAUAAAAAUACCAAAAAUAUUAUCUUAUCAUAUCUAUCAGAUCUUACUCUCGUAAGUGACCGUGAAGGGAUUGACAACCCCUUUAUUGCGUUGGUUGCGAGGUUCUUAUUUGUUUGUGUAGGUGCGUGGGACUCGAGCGUGGUCUCCUACUGGAUUGAUACCUUGGUUCUCAAAAACUGAGGGAAAUACUUACGCUACUUUACUGCAUCACCCUUUCCUCUUCAAGGGAAAACCAACGCAGUGCUCAAGAGGUAGCAAGAAGGAUUUCUGGCGCCGUUGCCGGGGAGAUUCGCGCCAAGUCAAGUCAAGUCAAGACAUACGAAGUAUCCAUCACAAACUCUUAUCCCUCGCAUUACAUUAUUUGCCAUUUGCCUCUCGUUUUCCUCUCCCCACUUCACCCUUGCCGUUUUUUCGCCCUCUCUUUUCCGUUCGCCUCUUUUUUGCUUGCUUCUUGUUUGCUCGUGUAUUGGAUUGCUUGCUUGUCAUGAUGGCUCAAGAUAAUACUAAAUUGUGUGACUUUACCUAUACCAACAACAAUGAUUUUCUUAGCACUUCGAUUGCUCCUCUUACCGAUGCUGAAUCUUGCGAAAUUAAUGCUGCUUUGUUGAAUCUUGUCAUGAAAGAUCAAUUCGCCGGCCUUCCAAGUGAAGAUGCCGCUACCCAUCUAAAUAGCUUCGUUGAUUUGUGUGAUAUGCAAAAUAAGAAAGAUGUGGAUAAUGAUAUUGUUAAAUUGAAGCUAUUUCCUUUUUCGCUUAGAGAUCGCGCUAAAGUUUGGUUUUCAUCUUUGCCUAAAAAUAGUAUUGAUUCAUGGAAUAAGUGCAAAGAUGCUUUUAUCUCUAAGUAUUUUCCUCCCGCUAAAAUCAUCUCUCUUAGAAACGAUAUCAUGAAUUUUAAGCAACUUGAUCAUGAACAUGUUGCACAAGCUUGGGAGAGGAUGAAAUUAAUGAUACGUGAUUGCCCUACACAUGGUUUGAAACUUUGGAUGAUUAUACAAAAAAUUUAUGCCGGAUUGAAUUUUGCUUCUAGAAAUCUUUUAGAUUUGGCCGUGGGAGGCACUUUUACGGAAAUCACUUUAGGAGAAGCUACUAAACACCUAGAUAAUAUUAUGGUUAAUUAUUCUCAAUGGCACACCGAAAGAUCUACUAAUAAAAAAGUGCAUGCGAUAGAAGAAAUUAAUGUUUUGAGUGGAAAGAUGGAUGUACUUAUGAAAUUAUUUGCUACUAAAAGUGUUUCAUCUGAUCCUAAUGAUAUGACUUUGUCUACUUUGAUUGAGAAUAAUAAUGAAUCUAUGGAUGUGAAUUUGUUGGUAGGAAUAAUUUUGGUAACAACGCGUAUAGAGGAAACUUUAAUCCUAGGUCGUAUCCUAGUAAUUCCUCUAAUAAUUAUGGUAAUUCCUACAACAAUUCUUAUGGAAAUUUUAAUAAGAUGCCGUCUGAAUUUGAGAUUAGUGUUAAGGAUUUUAUGAAUUCACAAAAGAAUUUCAAUGCUUUGCUUGAAGAAAAAUUGCUUAAGGUUGAUGAAUUGGCUAGGAACGUUGAUAGAAUUCCUCUUGAUGUUGAUUCUUUGAAACUUAGAUCUAUUCCACCUAAGCAUGAUAUCAAUGAGUCUCUCAAAUCCAUGAGAAUUUCCAUUGAUGAGUGCAAAGAAAGAACCGCUAGGAUGCGUGCUAAGAAAGAUUGCUUUGUGAAAGCGUGUUCAUCUAGUCUCUAUGAAAAUAAAGAUGAAGAUCUAAAAGUUAUUGAUGUGUCUCCUAUUAAAUCUUUGUUUUGCAAUAUGAAUCUUAAUAAUGAUGGGACUGAAUAUGAGCCACCUUUACCUAGAAGGCGUCCCAAAAAUUCGGAGUCUUUAGAUCUUGAUGCGAAAUUCGGUAAAAGUGGGAUUGAAGAAGUCAAAACUUUAGAUAUCAAUGAACCCACUAUUUUGGAUCUCAAGGAAUUUAAUUAUGAUAAUUGAUCUUUGAUAGAUUGUAUUUCCUUGUUGCAAUCCAUGCUAAAUUCUCCUCAUGCUUGUAGCCAAAAUAAAGCUUUUACUAAACAUAUCGUUGAUGCUUUGAUGCAAUCUUAUGAAGAAAAAAUUGAGUUGGAAGUUUCUAUCCCUAGAAAACUUUAUGAUGAGUGGGAACCUACUAUUAAAAUUAAAAUUAAAUAUCAUGAAUGCUAUCCUUUGUGUGAUUUGGGUGCUAGUGUUUCCACGAUUCUAAAAACUUCAUGUGAUUUGUUAGGUUUCCGCGAAUUUGAUGAUUGUUCUUUAAACUUGCACCUUGCGGAUUCCACCAUUAAGAAACCUAUGGGAAGAAUUAAUGAUGUUCUUAUUGUUGCAAAUAGUAACUAUGUGACCGUAGAUUUCAUUGUUCUUGAUAUAGAUUGCAAUCCUUCAUGUCCUAUUAUUCUUGGUAGAUCUUUCCUUAGAACGAUUGGUGCAAUUAUUGAUAUGAAGGAAGGGAAUAUUAUAUUCCAAUUUCCGUUAAGGAAAGGCAUGGAACACUUCCCUAGAAAGAAGAUUAAAUUACCUUAUGAAUCCAUUAUGAGAGCCACUUAUGGAUUUCCUACCAAAGAUGGCAAUACCUAGAUCUAUCAUUGCUUUUAUGCCUAGCUAGGGGCGUUAAACGAUAGCGCUUGUUGGGAGGCAACCCAAUUUUAUUUUAGUUUUUUGCUUUUUGCUUCUGUUUAGGAAUAAAUAUUUGACCUAGCCUCUGGUUAGAUUUGUUUUUAUGUUUUAAUUAGUGUUUGUGCCAAGUUAAACCUAUAGGAUCUUCUUGGAUGAUAGUUAUUUGAUCUUGCUGAAAAUUCCAGAAACUUUCUGUUCACGAAAACAAUUGUUAAAAAUCACCAGAACGUGAUAAAAUACUGAUUCCAAUUGCAGUAGAUCAAUAAACAAAUUUUAUAGGUCGUCCUAUUUUGGUAGAUUUUUUGAGUUCCAGAAGUUUGCGUUAGUUACAGAUUACUACAGACUGUUCUGUUUUUGAAAGAUUCUGUUUUUCAUGUGUUGUUUGCUUAUUUUGAUGAAUCUAUGGCUAGUAAAAUAGUUUAUAAACCAUAUAGAAGUUGGAAUACAGUAGGUUUAAUACCAAUAUAAAUAAAGAAUGAGUUUGUUACAGUACCUUGAAGUGGUGUUUUGUUUUCUUUCGCUAACGGAGCUCACGAGAUUUUCUGCUAAGUUUUGUGUUGUGAAGUUUUCAAGUUUUGGGUAAAAGAUUUGAUGGAUUAUGGAACAAGGAGUGGCAAGAGCCUAAGCUUGGGGAUGCCCAUGGCACCCCAAGAUAAUCUAAGGACACCAAAAAGGCAAAGCUUGGGGAUGCCCCGGAAGGCAUCCCCUCUUUCGUCUUCGUCCAUCGGUAACUUUACUUGGAGCUAUAUUUUUAUUCACCACAUGAUAUGUGUUUUGCUUGGAGCGUCUUGUAUAAUUUGAGUCUUUGCUUUUUAGUUUACCACAAUCAUCCUUGCUGUACACACCUUUUGAGAGAGACACACAUGAUUCAGAAUUUAUUAGAAUACUCUAUGUGCUUCACUUAUAUCUUUUGAGCUAUAUAGUUUUGCUCUAGUGCUUCACUUAUAUCUUUUAGAGCACGGUGGUGGAUUUGUUUUAUAGAAACUAUUGUUCUCUCAUGCUUCACUUAUAUUAUUUUUAGAGUCCUACAAAACAGCAUGGUAAUUUGCUUUAAUUAUGAUAGGCAUCCAAGAUUAGUAAAAUAAAAUAAAAAUUCUUAUGAGUGCGUUGAAUACUAUGAGAAGUUUGACGCUUGAGAAUUGUUUUGAGAUAUAAAGAUGGUGAUAUUAGAGUCAUGUUAGUUGAGUAGUUGUGAAUUUGAGAAAUACUUGUGUUAAAGUUUGUGAUUCCCGUAGCAUGCACGUAUGGUGAACCGUUAUGUGAUGAAUUCGAAGCAUGAUUUAUUUAUUGAUUGUCUUCCUUAUGAGUGGCGGUCGGGGACGAGCGACGGUCUUUUCCUACCAAUCUACCCCCCUAGGAGCAUGCGUGUAAUACUUUGCUUUGAUAACUCGUAGAUUUUUGCAACAAGUAUAUGAGUUCUUUAUGACUAAUGUUGAGUCCAUGGAUUAUACGCACUCUCUUCCUUCCACCAUUGCUAGCCUCUCUAAUACCGCGCACUUUUCACUGGUAUCAUACACCAACCAUAUAACUUCCUCAAAACAGCCACCAUACCUACCUACCAUGGCAUUUCCAUAGCCAUUCCGAGAUAUAUUGCCAUGCAACUUACCACCGUUCCGUUUACUAUGACACGCUUCAUCAUUGUCAUAUUGCUUUGCAUGAUCAUGUAGUUGACAUUGUAUUUGUGGCAAAGCCACCAUUCAUAAUUCUUUCAUACAUGUCACUCUUGAUUCAUUGCAUAUCCCGGUACACCGCCGGAGGCAUCCACAUAGAGUCAUAUUUUGUUCUAAGUUUGAGUUGUAAUUCUUGAGUUGUAAAGAAAAUAAAAGUAUGAUGAUCAUCAUUAUUAGAGCACUGUCCCAAGUAAGGAAAGGAUGAUGCAGACUAUGAUUCCCCCAUAAGUCGGGAUGAGACUCCAGUCUAAAUAAAAAAAGAAAAAAAAGAGGCCAUAAAAAAGGCCCAAAUAAAAAAUGAGAGAAAAAGAGAGAAGGGACAAUGCUACUAUCAUUUUUCCACACUUGUGCUUCAAAGUAGCACCAUGAUCUUCAUGAUAGAGAGUCUCCUAUGAUAUCACUUUCAUAUACUAGUGGGAAAUUUUCAUUAUAGAACUUGGCUUGUAUAUUCCAAUGAUGGGCUUCCUCAAAAUGCCCUAGGUCUUCGUGAUCAAGCAAGUUGGAUGCACACCCACUUAGUUUCUUUUGUUGAGCUUUCAUAUACUUAUAGCUCUAGUGCAUCCAUUGCAUGGCAAUCCCUACUCACUCACAUUGAUAUCUAUUAAUGGGGAUCUCCAUAGCCCGUUGAUACGCCUAGUUGAUGUGAGACUAUCUUCUCCUUUUUUGUCUUCUCCACAACCACCAUUCUAUUCCACAUAUAGUGCUAUGUCCAUGGCUCACGCUCAUGUAUUGCGUGAAGAUUGAAAAGUUUGAGAACACCAAAAGUAUGAAACAAUUGCUUGGCUUGUCAUCGGGGUUAUGCAUGAUUAAAUACUUUGUGUGAUGAAGAUAGAGCAUAGCCAGACUAUAUGAUUUUGUAGGGAUAACUUUCUUUGGCCAUGUUAUUUGAGAAGACAUAAUUACUUAGUUAGUAUGCUUGAAUUAUUAUUAUUAUGUCAAUAUUAAACUUUUAUCUUGAAUCAUUCGAAUAUGAACAUUCAUACCACAAUUAAGAGAAUUACACUGAAAAUUAUGCCAAGUAGCAUUCCACAUCAAAAAUUCCGUUUUUAUCAUUUACCUACUCGAGGACGAGCAGGAAUUAAGCUUGGGGAUGCUUGAUACGUCUCCAACGUAUCUAUAAUUUUUUGUUGUUCCAUGCUAUAUUAUAUUCUGUUUUGGAUGUUUAAUGGGCUUUAUUAUACACUUUUAUAUUAUUUUUGGGACUAACCUAUUAACCGGAGGCCCAGCCCAAAUUGUUGUUUUUUGCCUAUUUCAGUGUUUCGCAGAAAAAGAAUAUCAAACGGAGUCCAAACGGAAUCAAACCUUCGGGAACGUGAUUUUUGGAACAAACGUGAUGCAUAGGACUUGGAGUCCACGUAAAGAAAUCAAUGAGGAGAGCAUGAGGCAGGGGGGGCGCGCCUACCCCCAGGCGCGCCCUCCACCCUCAUGGGGCCCACGUUGCUCCACCGACGUACUUCUUCCUCCUAUAUAUACCUACGUACCCCAAACCAUCAGGGGCAUCCACGAAAACCUAAUUCCACCGCCGCAACCUUCUGUACCCGUGAGAUCCCAUCUUGGGGCCUUUUCCGGCGCUCCGCCGGAGGGGGCAUUGAUCAUGGAGGGCUUCUACAUCAACACCAUAGCCUCUCCGAUGAUGUGUGAGUAGUUUACCUCAAACCUUCGGGUCCAUAGUUAUUAGCUAGAUGGCUUCUUCUCUCUCUUUGGAUCUCAAUACAAAGUUCUCCUCGAUUCUCUUGGAGAUCUAUUCGAUGUAAUCUUCUUUUGCGGUGUGUUUGUCGAGACCGAUGAAUUGUGGGUUUAUGAUCAAGUUUAUCUAUGAACAAUAUUUGAAUCUCCUCUGAAUUCUUUUAUGUAUGAUUGGUUAUCUUUGCAAGUCUCUUCGAAUUAUCAGUUUGGUUUGGCCUACUAGAUUGAUCUUUCUUGCAAUGGGAGAAGUGUUUAGCUUUGGGUUCAAUCUUGCGGUGCUCGAUCCCAGUGACAGAAAGGGAAACGACACAUAUUGUAUUGUUGCCAUCGAGGAUAACAAGAUGGGGUUUAUAUCAUAUUGCAUGAGUUUAUCCCUCUACAUCAUGUCAUCUUGCUUAAAGCGUUACUCGGUUCUUAUGAACUUAAUACUCUAGAAGCAUGCUAGAUAGCGGUUGAUGUGUGGAGUAAUAGCAGUAGAUGCAGAAUCGUUUCGGUCUACUUGUCGCGGACGUGAUGCCUAUAUACAUGAUCAUACCUAGAUAUUCUCAUAACUAUGCUCAAUUCUAUCAAUUGCUCGACAGUAAUUUGUUCACCCACCGUAAUACUUAUGCUCUUGAGAGAAGCCACUAGUGAAACCUAUGGCCCCCGGGUCUAUUUUCCAUCAUAUUAAUCUUCCAACACUUAGCUAUUUCUAUUGCCGUUUAUUUUACUUUGCAUCUUUAUCAUAAAAAUACCAAAAAUAUUAUCUUAGCAUAUCUAUCAGAUCUCACUCUCGUAAGUGACCGUGAUGGGACUGACAACCCCUUUAUUGCGUUGGUUGCGAGGUUCUUAUUUGUUUGUGUAGGUGCGUGGGAGUAAUAGUAGUAGAUGCAGAAUCGUUUCGGUCUACUUGUCGCGGACGUGAUGCCUAUAUACAUGAUCAUACCUAGAUAUUCUCAUAACUAUGCUCAAUUCUAUCAAUUGCUCGACAGUAAUUUGUUCACCCACCGUAAUACUUAUGCUCUUGAGAGAAGCCACUAGUGAAACCUAUGGCCCCCGGGUCUAUUUUCCAUCAUAUUAAUCUUCCAACACUUAGCUAUUUCUAUUGCCGUUUAUUUUACUUUGCAUCUUUAUCAUAAAAAUACCAAAAAUAUUAUCUUAGCAUAUCUACCAGAUCUCACUCUCGUAAGUGACCGUGAUGGGACUGACAACCCCUUUAUUGCGUUGGUUGUGAGGUUCUUAUUUGUUUGUGUAGGUGCGUGGGACUCGAGGGUGGUCUCCUACUGGAUUGAUACCUUGGUUCUCAAAAACUGAGGGAAAUACUUAUGCUACUUUACUGCAUCGCCCUUUCCUCUUCAAGGGAAAACCAACGCAGUGCUCAAGAGGUAGCACACAUCAUAAUAAGCCUUGCAAGCAAUGUGACUAAUGAGUUAGUUGCAGGAUGAUGCAUUACGGAACGAGUAAACAGACUUGCCGGUAAGGAGAUUGAACUAGGUAUGAAGAUACCAACGAUCAAAUCUCGGGCAAGUAACAUACUGAUGACAAAGGGAAUAACGUAUGUUGUCAUUACGGUACGACCGAUAAAGAUCUUUGUAGAAUAUGUGGGAACCAAUAUGAGCAUCCAGUUUCCGCUGUUGGUUAUUGACCGGAGAGGUGUCUCAAUCAUGUCUACAUAGUUCUCGAACCCGUAGGGUCCGCACGCUUAACGUUCGAUGAUGAUUUUGUAUUAUAUGAGUUAUGUGGUUUGGUGACCGAAUGCUGUUUGGAGUCCCGGGUGAGAUCACGUACAUGACGAGGAGUCUCGAAAUGGCUGAGAGGUAAAGAUUCAUAUAUAGGACGACAAUAUUCGGACACCGGAAGUGUUCCGGGGGUACCGGGUACGUAUCGGGUCACCGAAAGGGUUCCGGGCACCCCCACGGCAAAGAUAUGGGCCUUAUUGGGCCUAGGGCGGGACAGACCAGCCCCUUGUGGGCUGGUGCGCCCCCAUAUGGGCCGAUCUAAGUGGAGAAUGGAAAAGGGGAAGAGGAAAGGAAAUAGAGGGAAUAGGAUUCCCCCUUCCUUUCCCCUCUCCCCUCUUUCCUCCCCCCCUCCGGAGAUAAGGAAAGGGUGAGGCCGAAUUGGAGGAGGGGGGUGCCUAGAACACACACCAACAAUUGUUAGCCAUGUGCGGCGCCCCCUCCAUAGUUUACGCCUCCGGUCAUAUUCACGUAGUGCUUAGGCGAAGCCCUGCACGGAUUACUUCACCAUCACCGUCGCCACGCCAUCGUGCUGAUGGAACUCUCCCUCGACACUUUGCUGGAUCAAGAGUUCGAGGGAUGUCAUCGAGCUGAACGUGUGCAGAACUCGAAGGUGUCGUACGUUCGGUGCUUGAUCGGUCGGAACGAGAAGAAGUUCGACUAUAUCAACCGCGUAAACAAACACUUCCGCUUUAGGUCUACGAGGGUACGUGGACACACUCUCCCCCUCUCGUUGCUAUGCAUCUCCUAGAUAGAUCUUGCGUGAUCGUAGGAUUUUUUUUUGAAAUUGCAUGGUACGUUCCCCAACAGUGGCAUCUGAGCCAGGUCUAUCCGUAGAUGAUAUGCAUGAGUAGAACACAAAGAGUUGUGGGCGAUAAUAGUCAUACUGCUUACCACCAACGUCUUAUUUUGAUUCGACCGUAUUGUUGGAUGAAGCGGCCCAGACCAACCUUACAUGAACACAUUCAUGAGACCGGUUCCACCGACAGACAUGCAACUUGUUUUGCAUAAAGGUGGCUGGCGGGUGUCUGUUUCUCCAACUUUAGUUGAAUCGAAUUUGACUACGGCCGGUCCUUGUUGGAGGUUAAAACAGCACACUUGACGAAAAAUCGUUGUGGUUUUGAUGCGUAGGUAAGAACGGUUCUUACUAGAAGCCCGUAGCAGCCACGUAAAACUUGCAACAACAAAGUAGAGGACGUCUAACUUGUUUUUGCAGGACAUGUUGUGAUGUGAUAUGGUCAAGACAUGAUGUGAGAUAUGUUAUUGUGUGAGAUGAUCAUGUUUUGUAAAAGUUACCGUCAACUGGCACGAGCUUUAUGGUUGUCGCUUUAUUGUAUGAAAUGUAAUCUCCAUGUAAUUGCUUUACUUUAUCACUAUGUGUUAGCGAUAGUCAUAGAAGCAAUAGUUGUGAGACGACAACGACGCUACGAUGGAGAUCAAGGUGUCAAGCCGGUGAAAAUGGAGAUCAUGACGGUGCUUUGGAGAUGGAGAUCAAAGGCACAAGAUGAUGAUGGCCAUAUCAUGUCACAUAUUUUGAUAGCAUGUGAUGUUUAUCUUUUAUGUAUCUUAUUUUGCUUAGUACGACGGUAGCAUUAUAAGAUGAUCCCUCACUAAAUUUCUUGGUAUAAGUGUUCUCCCUGAGUAUAAGUUCAUCUCUUGUAUCCAAUUCUUGUCUCUAAGUCUGGGAUUGGUACCUGUAGGUUGCUAGUAGUGUUGAUUACUCCUUGUAGUUGAUGCUAGUUGGUUUAUUUGGUGGAAGAUCAUAUGUUCAGAUCCUAUAUGCAUAUUAAUACUCCUCUGAUUAUGAACAUGAAUAUGCUUUGUGAGUAGUUACGUUUGUUCCUGAGGACAUGGGAGAAGUCUUGCUAUUAGUAGUCAUGUGAAUUUGGUAUUCGUUUGAUAUUUUGAUGAGAUGUAUGUUGUCUCUCCUCUAGUGGUGUUAUGUGAACAUCGACUACAUGACACUUCACCAUUAUUUGGGCCUAGAGGAAGGCAUUGGGAAGUAAUAAGUAGAUGAUGGGUUGCUAGAGUGACAGAAGCUUAAACCCUAGUUUAUGCGUUGCUUCGUAAGGGGCUGAUUUGGAUCCAUAUGUUUCAUGCUAUGGUUAGGUUUACCUUAAUACUUCUUUUGUAGUUGCGGAUGCUUGCAAUAGGAGUUAAUCAUAAGUGGGAUGCUUGUCCAAGUAAGGACAGCACCCAAGCACCGGUCCACCCACAUAUCAAAUUAUCAAAGUACCGAACGCGAAUCAUAUGAACGUGAUGAAAACUGGCUUGACGAUAAUUCCCAUGUGUCCUCGGGAGCGCUUUUCUCUAUAUAAGAGUUUGUCCAGGCUUGUCCUUUGCUACAAAAAGGAUUGGGCCACCUUGCUGCACUUUAUUUACUUUUGUUACUUGUUGCUCGUUACAAAUUAUCUUAUCACAAAACUAUCUGUUACCUAUAAUUUCAGUGCUUGUAGAGAAUACCUUGCUGAAAACCGCUUAUCAUUUCCUUCUGCUCCUCGUUGGGUUCGACACUCUUACUUAUCGAAAGGACUACGAUAGAUCCCCUAUACUUGUGGGUCAUCACCUCUUCUCACCGGCAGGUUUGAAAUCAUAGUUGAGCUCUUUAAUAGCCCAAUAUGCCUUAUGUUCUAGUUCGAGAUGUAAGUGACAUGCUUUUCCAUAAACCAUUUUAUACGGAGACAUGCCCAUAGGAUUUUUAUAUGCAGUUCUAUAGGCCCAUAAUGCAUCAUCAAGUUUCUUGGACCAAUUCUUUCUAGAUCUAUUAACAGUCUUUUGCAAAAUUAAUUUGAGCUCUCUAUUACUCAAUUCUACUUGACCACUAGACUGUGGGUGAUAAGGAGAUGCAAUUCUAUGAUUAACAUCAUACUUAGCAAGCAUUUUAUGAAAAGCACCAUGAAUAAAAUGUGGACCACCAUCAGUCAUUGAAUAUCUAGGGACUCCAAACCUCGGAAAAAUAACUUCUUUAAGCAUCUUAAUAGAGGUGUUAUGAUCAGCACUACUAGUUGGAAUAGCUUCUACCCACUUAGUAACAUAAUCAUUAGCAACUAAAAUAUGAGUAUAUCCAUUAGAGGCAGGAAACGGUCCCAUAUAAUCAAAGCCCCAAACAUCGAAUGGUUCAAUAACAAGUGAAUAAUUCAUAGGCAUUUCCUGACGUCUACUAAUAUUACCAAUUCGUUGACAUUCAUCACAAGAUAAGACAAACUUACGGGCAUCUUUGAAGAGGGUAGGCCAAUAAAAACCGGAUUGCAAUACCUUAUGUGCAGUUCUAUCUCUAGCGUGGUGUCCUCCAUAAGCCUUGGAGUGACACUUGCAUAGGAUCUGUUCCUGUUCAUGCUCAGGUACACAACGCCUAAUAACACCAUCUACUCCUUCUUUAUAAAGAUGUGGGUCAUCCCAGAAGUAAUGUCUUAAAUCAUAGAAAAACUUUUUCUUUUGCUGGUAUGUGAAACUAGGUGGUAUAAAUUUAGCAACAAUGUUUAGCACAAUCAGCAUACCAUGGAGCAGUACGAGAAGCAUUUAUGACAUUUAAUUGUUCAUCAGGAAAGCUAUCAUCAAUAGGUAGUGGGUCAUCAAGAACAUUUUUUAACCUAGACAAGUUAUCUGCAACGGGGUUCUCAGCUCCCUUUCUAUCAAUAAUAUGUAAAUCAAAUUCUUGUAGCAAGAGAACCCAUCUAAUAAGUCUAGAUUUAGCAUCUUUCUUUUCCAUAAGAUAUUUAAUAGCAGCAUGAUCAGUGUGAAUAGUUACUCUAGAAUCAACAAUAUAAGGUCUGAACUUAUCACAAGCAAAUACAACUGCUAAGAAUUCUUUUUCAGUAGUCGCAUAAUUUCUCUGGGCAUUGUCUAGAGUUUUACUAGCAUAUUGGAUAACAUUUAAUUUCUUAUCAACUCUUUCCCUAGAACAACACCUACAGCAUAAUCGCUAGCAUCACACAUAAUUUCAAAGGGUAAAUUCCAGUCAGGUGGCUGAACGAUAGGUGCAGAAAUUAAUGCUUUCUUAAGUAUUUCAAAUGCUUCUACACAAUCAUCAUCAAAGACAAAAGGUAUAUCUUUUUGUAAGAGAUUAGUCAGAGGCCGAGAAAUUUUUGAGAAGUCCUUAAUGAACCUCCUAUAAAAACCGGCAUGACCAAGGAAACUUCUUAUACCUUUGAUGUCCUUAGGACACGACAUCUUUUCAAUAGCAUCAACUUUAGCUUUAUCAACUUCAAUACCUCUUUCAGAAAUUUUAUGCCCCAAAACAAUGCCUUCAUUAACCAUAAAGUGGCACUUCUCCCAAUUCAAGACAAGAUUAGUUUCUUCACAUCUCUGCAAAACUCGAUCAAGGUUGCUCAAGCAAUCAUCAAAAGAGGAUCCAUAAACGGAGAAAUCGUCCAUGAAAACCUCACAUAUCUUUUCCCAAAAGUCAGAGAAUAUAGCCAUCAUGCAUCUUUGAAAGGUAGCAGGUGCAUUACAUAAACCAAAAGGCAUACGCCUAUAAGCAAAAGUACCGAAAGGGCAAGUAAAAGUGUUCUUUGCUUGAUCAUCAGUUGACACAGGUAUUUGAGAGAAACUAGAGUAACCAUCUAGAAAGCAAAAAUGUGUAUGUUUGGAUAAUCUUUCUAGCAUUUGAUCAAUAAAAGGAAAGGGGUAAUGAUCUUUUUUAGUAGCCUUAUUUAAUUUGCGGAAAUCAAUUACCAUCCUAUAACCUGUAAUAAUUCUUUGCGGAAUCAAUUCAUCUUUAUCAUUAGGAACGACAGUAAUACCUCCCUUCUUAGGGACACAAUGGACAGGACUUACCCACUGACUAUCAGCAACGGGAUAAAUUAUACCUGCCUCAAGGAGCUUUAGUAUUUCCUUUCUUACCACUUCUUUCAUCUUAGGAUUCAGCCGUCGUUGAUGAUCAAUAACUGGUUUGGCAUCUUUCUCCAAGUUUAUUUUGUGUUGACAUAGAGUGGGACUAAUGCCCUUAAGAUCAUCAAGAGUAUAUCCAAUAGCAGCACGGUGCUUCUUCAGAGUUUUCAAUAAUUUCUCUUCUUCAUGCUCUGAAAGGUUAGCACUAAUAAUAACAGGAUAUAUCUUCUUUUCAUCAAGCAUAUUUAAGAGUAUCAGGUAAUGGUUUAAGCUCAAACACGGGAUCACCCUUGGGUGGAGGAGGAUCCCCUAGGAUUUCAACAGGCAAGUUGUGUUUCAGAAUAGGUCCCUGUUUAAAGAAUACUUCAUCUAUUUCCCUUCUUUCAUUCAUAAACAUAUCAUUUUCAUGGUCUAGCAAAUAUUGUUCUAAAGGAUCACUAAGAGGUACGGCAAUAGAAGCAAGACCAGUAAUUUCAUCUUUACUAGGCAAUUCCUCAUCAAGAGGUUGUCUACGAAAUUUAGAGAAUUAAACUCAUGAGACAUAUCAUCCAAACCAAUAGUAACAACAUCCUUUUUGUAGUCUAUCUUAGCAUUAACAGUAUUCAAGAAGGGUCUACCAAAUAUAAUGGGACAAAAGCUAUCUUGAGGGGAACCAAGAACAAGAAAAUCAGUAGGAUACUUAGCUUUCCCACACAAGACUUCAACAUCUCUAACAAUACCAAUUGGUGAAAUUGUAUCUCUAUUGGCAAGCUUAAUGGUGACAUCAAUUUCUUCUAACUCAGCAGGUGCAAUGUCAUGCAUAAUUUCUUUGUAUAAGGAAAUAGGUAUUGCACUAGCACUAGCACCCAUAUCACACAAGCCAUGAUAACAAUGAUCUCCUAUUUUAACAGAAAUAACAGGCAUGCCUACCACGGGUCUAUGUUUAUCUUUAGCACUAGGUUUAGCAAUUCUAGCAGUCUCAUCACAGAAGUAAAUAACAUGCCCAUCGAUAUUAUCAGCCAAGAGAUCUUUAACAAUAGAAAUAUUAGGUUCAACUUUAACAUGCUCAGGAGGUGUAUAAGUUCUAAUAUUGCUUUUAUGAACCACAGUUGAAGCUUUAGCAUGAUCCUUUAUCCUAACAGGGAAAGGUGGUUUCUCAACAUAAGAAGUAGGAACAAUAGGAUCAUUAUAAGUGAUAGUCUUUUCUUCAACUUUAAUAGGUGCAACUACUUUUACUUCAACGGGAGGAUUAUAUUUAAACCACUUCUCCUUAGGGACAUCAACAUGAGUAGCAAAGGAUUCACAUAAAGAAGCUACUAUCUCAGAGUCAAGUCCAUAUUUAGUGCUAAAUUCACGGAAAGCAUCGGUAUCCAUAAAAGAUUUAACACAAUCAAACUUAGGUGUUAUACCUGACUCCUUACCUUCGUCGAGGUCCCAAUCUUCAGAGUUGCAUUUAAUUCUUUCCAAUAAAUCCCAUUUGAAUUCAAUAGUCUUCAUCAUAAAAGAGCCAGCACAAGAAGUAUCGAGCAUGGAGCGAUUAUUGUGAGAAAGCCGAGCAUAAAUUUUUUGAAUAAUCAUUUCUCUUGAGAGCUCAUGAUUGGGGCAUGAAUAUAACAUUGACUUAAGCCUCCCCCAAGCUUGAGCGAUGCUUUCUCCUUCGCGAGGCCAAAAAUUAUAUAUAUAAUUACGAUCACGAUGAACAAGAUGCAUAGGAUAAAACUUCUAAUGAAAUUCCAAUUUCAAUCGCUUAUAGUCCCAUGAUCCCAUAUCAUCACAUAGCCUAUACCAUAUCAAUGCAUCUCCCUUCAAAGAUAAAGGGAAGACCUUCUUCUUGAUAACAUCAUCGGGCAUACCUGCAAGCUUAAAUAAUCCACAAACUUCAUCCACAUAGAUUAGGUGUAAAUCGGGAUGCAAUGUUCCAUCUCCUGCAAAAGGAUUAGCUAGCAGUUUCUCUAUCAUACCCGAAGGAAUUUAAAAGUAGACAUUUUCAUUUUCAGUAGGUUCAGUAGGUUGAGGAGCAACUAUAUGCUCUACCGGUCGGGGUGAAGAUACCCCGAACAAGCCCCUCAAAGGAUUACUUUCCAUAGUAACAAGUGACAGUAAAUUUCAGCACACUAUAUAAAUUUUUCCUUACCAAAUUCCACCUACCAAAGGCGCUUCACUCCCCGGCAAUGGCGCCAGAAAAGAGUCUUGAUGACCCACAAGUAUAGGGGAUCUAUCGUAGUCCUUUCGAUAAGUAAGAGUGUCGAACCCAACGAGGAGCAGAAGGAAAUGGUAAGCGGUUUUCAGCAAGGUAUUCUCUGCAAGCACUGAAAUUAUCGGUAACAGAUAGUUUUGUGAUAAAGUAAUUUGUAACGAGCAACAAGUAAAAAAAGUAAAUAAAGUGCAGCAAGAUGGCCCAAUCCUUUUUGUAGCAAAGGACAAGCCUGGACAAACUCUUAUAUAGAGAAAAGCGCUCCCGAGGACACAUGGGAAUUAUCGUCAAGCUAGUUUUCAUCACGUUCAUAUGAUUCACGUUCGGUACUUUGAUAACUUGAUAUGUGGGUGGACCGGUGCUUGGGUGCUGUACUUACUUGGACGAGCAUCCCACUUAUGAUUAACUCCUAUUGCAAGCAUCCGCAACUACAAAAGAAGUAUUAAGGUAAACCUAACCAUAGCAUGAAACAUAUGGAUCCAAAUCAGCCCCUUACGAAGCAACGCAUAAACUAGGGUUUAAGCUUCUGUCACUCUAGCAACCCAUCAUCUACUUAUUACUUCCCAAUGCCUUCCUCUAGGCCCAAAAAAUGGUGAAGUGUCAUGUAGUCGACGUUCACAUAACACCACUAGAGGAGAGACAACAUACAUCUCAUCAAAAUAUCGAACGAAUACCAAAUUCACAUGACUACUAAUAGCAAGACUUCUCCCAUGUCCUCAGGAACAAAUGUAACUACUCACAAAGCAUAUUCAUGUUCAUAAUCAGAGGAGUAUUAAUAUGCAUAAUGGAUCUGAACAUAUGAUCUGCCACCAAGUAAACCAACUAGCAUCAACUACAAGGAGUAAUCAACACUACUAGCAACCCACAGGUACCAAUCUCAGACUUAGAGACAAGAAUUGGAUACAAGAGAUGAACUAGGGUUUGAGAGGAGAUGGUGCUGGUGAAGAUUUUGAUGGCGAUUGGCCCCCUCCCGAUGAGAGGAGCGUUGGUGAUGACGAUGGCGAUGAUUUCCCCCUCCCGGAGGGAAGUGUCGCCGGCAGAACAGCUCCGCCAGAGCCCUAGAUUGGUUCCGCCAAGGUUCCGCCUCGUGGCGGCAGAGUCUCGUCCCGAAAGCUUUCUUAUGAUUUUUUCUCAGACGAAAGACUUCAUAUAGCAGAAGAUGGGCACCGGAGGGCCACCAGGGGGCCCAUGAGGCAGGGGCGCGCCCAGGGGGGUAGGGCACGCCCCCACCCUCGUGGCCAGGGUGUGGGCCCCCUCUGGUAUUUUCUUCGCUCAGUAUUUUUUUUUAUUUACAAAAAUAACUUCCGUGGAGUUUCAGGACUUUUGGAGUUGUGCAGAAUAGGUCUCCAAUAUUUGCUCCUUUUCCAGCCCGGAAUUCCAGCUGCCGGCAUUCUCCCUCUUUAUGCAAACCUUGUAAAAUAAGAGAGAAUAGGCAUAAGUAUUGUGACAUAAUGUGUAAUAACAACCCAUAAUGCAAUAAAUAUCGAUAUAAAAGCAUGAUGCAAAAUGGACGUAUCAAUGUCUAUCUAAGUGGGAGUUCUUAAGUAAUAUGAUUAAUUGAACUUGAAUUUAUCAUGAACUUAGUCCUGAUAGUUUUUGCAUAUCUAUGUUGUAGAUCAAUGGCCCGUGCUACCAUUCCCUUGAAUUUUGUUCCUAGAGAAAGCUAAGUUGAAAGAUGAUGGUAGCAACUACAUGGACUGGGUCCGUAACUUGAGGAUUAUUCUCAUUGUUGCACAACAGAAUUAUGUCCUUGAUGCACCGAUAGGUGUGAGGCCUGCUGCAGGAGGAACUCCGGACGUUAUGAACGUCUGGCAAACUAGAUCUGAUGACUACUAGAUAGUUCAGUGUGCCAUGCUCUACGGCUUAGAAUCGGGACUUCAAAGACGUUUUGAACGUCAUGGAGCAUAUGAGAUGUUCCAGGAGUUGAAGUUAAUAUUUCAAGCAAAUGCCCGAGUUGAGAGAUAUGAAGUCUCCAACAAGUUCUAUAGCUGCAAGAUGGAGGAGAAUAGUUCUGUCAGUGAACACAUACUCAGAAUGUCUGGGUACCAUAACCACUUGACUCAGCUGGGAGUUAAUCUUCCUGAUGAUAGUGUCAUUGACAGAGUUCUUCAAUCACUGCCACCAAGCUAUAAAGGCUUCGUGAUGAACUAUAAUAUGCAAGGGAUGAACAAGACGAUUCCCGAGCUCUUCGCAAUGCUUAAGGCUGCGGAGGUAGAAAUCAAGAAGGAGCAUCAAGUGUUGAUGGUUAACAAGACCACUAGUUUCCAGAAAAAGGGCAAAGGGAAGAAGGGGAACUUCAACAAGAAUAGCAAACAAGUUGCUGCUCCUGGGAAGAAGCCCAAGUCUGGACCUAAGCCUGAAACUGAGUGCUUCUACUGCAAAGGGACUGGUCACUGGAAGCGGAACUGCCCCAAGUAUUUGGCGGAUAAGAAGGAUGGCAAAGUGAACAAAGGUAUAUUUGAUAUACAUGUUAUUGAUGUGUACAUUACUAAUGCUCGUAGUAGCGCCUGGGUAUUUGAUACUGGUUCUGUUGCUCAUAUUUGCAACUCGAAACAGGGGCUAUGGAUUAAACGAAGAUUGGCUAAGGACGAGGUGACGAUGCGCGUCGGAAAUGGUUCCAAGGUCAAUGUGAUCGCCGUCGGCACGCUACCUCUACAUCUACCUUCGGGAUUAGUUUUAGACCUGAAUAAUUGUUAUUUGGUGCGAGCGUUGAGCAUGAACAUUAUAUCUGGAUCUUGUUUGAUGCGAGACGGUUAUUCAUUUAAAUCAGAGAAUAAUGGUUGUUCUAUUUAUAUGAGUAAUAUCUUUGAUGGUCAUGCACCCUUGAUGAGUGGUCUAUUUUUGUUGAAUCUCGAUCGUAGUGAUACACAUAUUCAUAAUAUUGAUGCCAAAAGAAGCAAAGUUAGUAAUGAUAGUGCAACUUAUUUGUGGCACUACCGUUUAGGUCAUAUUGGUGUAAAGCGCAUGAAGAAACUCCAUGCAGAUGGACUUUUGGAAUCACUUGAUGCUUGCAAACCAUGCCUCAUGGGCAAGAUGACUAAGACUCCGUUCUUCGGAACAAUGGAGCGAGCCACUGACUUAUUGGAAAUAAUACAUACCGAUGCAUGUUGUCAGAUGAGUGUUGAGGCUCGCGGCGGGUAUCGUUAUUUUCUGACCUUCACAGAUGAUUUGAGCAGAUAUGGGUAUAUCUACUUAAUGAAACAUAAGUCUGAAACAUUUGAAAAGUUCAAAGAAUUUCAGAGUGAAGUGGAAAAUCAUCGUAAAAAGAAAAUAAAGUUUCUACGAUCUGAUCGUGGAGGCGAAUAUUUGAGUUACGAGUUUGGUCUUCAUUUGAAACAAUGUGGAAUAGUUUCGCAACUCACGUCACCUGGAACACCACAUCAUAAUGGUGUGUCUGAACGUCGUAACCGUACUUUAUUAGAUAUGGUGCGAUCUAUGAUGUCUCUUACCGAUUUACCACUAUCGUUUUGGGGUUAUGCAUUAGAGACAACUGCAUUCACGUUAAAUAGGGCACCAUCUAAAUCCGUUGAGACGACACCAUAUGAACUAUGCUUUGGCAAGAAACCUAAGCUGUCGUUUCUCAAAGUUUGGGGUUGCGAUACUUAUGUGAAAAAGCUUCGGCCUGAUAAGCUCGAACCCAAAUCGGAGAAAUGCAUCUUCGUAGGAUACCCAAAAUAAACUGUUGGGUACACCUUCUAUCACAGAUUCGAAGGCAAGAUAUUUGUUGCUAAGAAUGGAUCCUUUCUGGAGAAAGAGUUUCUCUCAAAAGAAGUGAAUGGGAGGAAAGUAGAACUUGAUGAGGUAAUUGUACCUUCUCUCGAAUUGGAAAGUAGUUCAUCACAUAAAUCAGUUCCAGUGAUGCCUACACCAAUUAGUGAGGAAGUUAAUGAUGAUGAUCAUGAAACUUCAGAUCAAGUUACUACCGAACCUCGUAGGUCAACCAGAGUACGUUCCGCACCAGAGUGGUACGGUAAUCCUAUUCUGGAAGUCAUGUUGCUAGACCAUGAUGAACCUACGAACUAUGAGGAAGCAAUGAUGAGCCCAGAUUCUGCGAAAUGGCUUGAGGCCAUGAAAUCUGAGAUGGGAUCCAUGUAUGAGAACAAAGUGUGGACAUUGGUUGACUUGCCCGAUGAUCGGCAAGCCAUAGAGAAUAAAUGGAUCUUCAAGAAGAAGACUGACGUUGAUGGUAAUGUUACUGUCCAUAAAGCUUGACUUGCUGCAAAAGGUUUUCGACAAGUUCAAGGAGUUGACUACGAUGAGACUUUCUCACCUGUAGCGAUGCUUAAGUCUGUCCGAAUCAUGUUAGCAAUUUCGCAUUUUAUGAUUAUGAAAUUUGGCAAAUGGAUGUCAAAACUGCAUUCCUUAAUGGAUUUCUUAAGGAAGAGUUGUAUAUGAUGCAACCAGAAGGUUUUAUCGAUCCAAAAGGUGCAAACAAAGUGUGCAAGCUCCAUCGAUCCAUUUAUGGACUGGUGCAAGCAUGUCGGAGUUGGAAUACAUGCUUUGAUAGUGUGAUCAAAAUAUGGUUUUAUACAAACUUUUGGAGAAACCUGUAUUUACAAGAAAGUGAGUGGGAGCUUUGUAGCAUUUCUAAUAUUAUAAUGUGGAUGACAUAUUAUUGAUUGGAAAUAAUACAGAAUUUCUGGAUAGCAUAAAAGGAUGCUUGAAUAAGAAUUUUUCAAUGAAAGACCUCGUUGAAGCUGAUUAUAUGUUGGGCACCAAGAUCUAUAGAGAUAGAUCAAGACGCUUAAUUGGACUUUCACAAAGCACAUACCUUGAUAAAGUUUUAAAGAAGUUCAAAAUGGAUCAGUCAAAGAAAGGGUUCUUGCCUGUGUUACAAGGUGUGAAGUUGAGUCAGACUCAAUGCCCGACCACUGCAGAAGAUAGAGAGAAAAUGAAAGUCAUUACCUAUGCUUCAGCCAUAGGUUCUAUCAUGCAUGCAAUGAUGUGUACCAGACCUGAUGUGUGCCUUGCUAUAAGUUUAGCAGGGAGGUACCAAAGUAAUCUAGGAGUGGAUCACUGGACAGCGGUCAAGAACAUCCUGAAAUACCUGAAAAGGACUAAGGAUAUGUUUCUCGUUUAUGGAGGUGACAAAGAGCUUGUCGUAAAUGGUUACGUCGAUGCUAUCUUUGACACUGGUCCAGAUGACUCUGAGUCUCAAUCUGGAUACAUAUUGAAAGUGGGAGCAAUUAGCUAGAGCAUUGUAGACAUAGAAAUUGUCAAAAUACAUACGGAUUUGAAUGUGGCAGACCCGCUGACUAAACCACUCUCACAAGCAAAAUAUGAUCACACCUUAGUACUCUUUGGGUGUUAAUCACAUGGCGAUGUGAACUAGAUUACUGACUCUAGUAAACCCUUUGGGUGUUGCUCACAUGGCGAUGUGAACUAUGGGUGUUAAUCACAUGGUGAUGUGAACUAUUGGUGUUAAAUCACAUGGCGAUGUGAUCUAGAUUAUUGACUAUAGUGCAAGUGGGAGACUGAAGGAAAUAUGCCCAAGAGGCAAUAAUAAAGUUGUUGUUUUAUAUUUCCUUAUAUCAUGAUAAAUGAUUAUUCAUGCUAGAAUUGUAUUAACCGGAAACUUGAUACAUGUGUAGAUACAUAAACAAAACAUAGUGUCCCUAGUAAGCCUCUACUAGACUAGCUCGUUAAUCAAAGAUGGUUAAGUUUCCUAACCAUAGGCAUAUGUUAACAUAUGAUGAAUGGGAUCACAUCAUUAGGAGAAUGAUGUGAUGGACAAGACCCAUCCGUUAGCUUAGCAUAAUGAUCGUUCAGUUUUAUUGCUAUAGCUUUCUUCAUGUCAUAUACAUAUUCCUUUGGCUAUGAGAUUAUGCAACUCCCGGAUACUGGAGGAAUGCCUUGUGUGCGAUCAAACGUUACAACGUGACUGGGUGAUUAUAAAGAUGCUCUACAGGUAUCUCCGAAGGUGUUUGUUGGGUUGGCAUAGAUCGAGAUUAGGAUUUGUCACUCCGAGUACCGGAGAGGUAUCUCUGGGCCCUCUCGGUAAUGCACAUCAUAAUAAGACUUGCAAGCAAUGUGACUAAUGAGUUAGUUGCGGGAUGAUGCAUUACAGAAUGAGUAAAGAAACUUGCCGGUAACAAGAUUGAACUAGGUAUGAAGAUACCGAUGAUCAAAUCUCGGGCAAGUAACAUACCGAUGACAAAGGGAAUAAUGUAUGUUGUCAUUACAGUAUGACCAAUAAAGAUCUUCGUAGAAUAUGUGGGAACCAAUAUGAGCACCCAGGUUCUGCUGUUGGCUAUUGACCGGAGAGGUGUCUCGGUCAUGUCUACAUAGUUCUCGAACCCGUAGGGUCCGCACGCUUAACGUUUGAUGACGAUUUUGUAUUAUAUGAGUUAUGUGAUUUUUUGACCGAAUGCUGUUCGGAGUCCCGGAUGAGAUCACGGACAUGACGAGGAGUCUCGAAAUGGUCGAGAGGUAAAGAUUCAUAUAUAGGACGAUAGUAUUCAGACAUCGGAAGUGUUCCGGGGGUACCGGGUACGUAUCGGGUCACCGGAAGGGUUCCGGGCACCCCCCAGCAAAGAUAUGGGCCUUAUUGGGCCUAGGGCGGGACAGACCAGCCCCUUGUGGGCUGGUGCGCCCCCAUAUGGACCGAUCUAAGUGGAGAAAGGAAAAGGGGAAGAGGAAAGGAAAUAGAGGGAACAGGAUUCCCCCUUCCUUUCCCCUCUCCCCUCUUUCCUUCCCCCCUCCGGAGAUAAGGAAAGGGGGAGGCCGAAAUUGGAGGAGGCCCCAAGUAGGAUUCCUCCUACUUGGGGCGCCCCAAGGCUGCUCCCCUCCCUCUCCCACCUAUAUAUACAUGGGGAGGGGCGCCUAGAACACACACCAACAAUUGUUAGCCAUGUACGGCGCCCCCCUCCACAGUUUACGCCUCCGGUCAUAUUCACGUAGUGCAUAGGCGAAGCCCUGCGCGGAUUACUUCACCAUCACCGUCACCACGCCGUCGUGCUGAUGGAACUCUCCCUCGACACUUUGUUGGAUCAAGAGUUCGAGGGACGUCAUCGAGCUGAACGUGUGCAGAACUCGGAGGUGCCGUACGAUCAGUGCUUGAUCGAUCGGAACGAGAAAAAGUUCGACUACAUCAACCGCGUAAACAAACACUUCCGCUUUCGGUCCACGAGGGUACGUGGACACACUCUCCCCCUCUCAUUGCUAUGCAUCUCCUAUAUAGAUCUUGCGUGAUCAUAGGAUUUUUUUUGAAAUUGCAUGCUACGUUCCCCAACACGGCCUCCCCGGGCUGCUGAUGUCUACUACGCAACUUUAUUCUUGUAGACACAUGUUGGGCCUCCAAGUGUAGAGUUCUGUAGGACAGUAGCAAUUUUUACUCAAGUGGAUGACCUAAGGUUUAUCAAUCCGUAGGAGGCGUAAGAUGAAGAUAUAUAGUCUCUCUCAAACGAUCCUGCAACCAAAUACAAGAUAUCUCUUGUGUCCCCAACACACCCAAUACAAUGGUAAUUUGUAUAGGUGCACUAGUUCGGCGAAGAGAUGGUGAUAAAAAUGUAAUAUUGAUGGUAGAAAUAUAUUUUUAUAAUCUGAAUAAAUAAAAACAGCAAGGUAGCAAUUGAUAAAAGUGAGCACACACGAUAUUGUAGUACUUAAAAAAUGAGGCCUAGGGUCCGUAAUUUCACUAGUGCAAUCUCCCAACAAUGCUAAUAUAAUUGGAUCAUAUAACCAUCCCUCAACGUGCGAUGAAGAAUCACUCCAAAGUUCCUAUCUAGCGAAGAACAUAAGAAUAAAUUGUUUGUAGGGUACGAAACCAUCUCAAAGCUAUUCUUUCCGAUCAAUCUAUCCUAGAGUUCGUACUAAAAUAACAACAAGCUAUUCUUUUUGAUCGAUCUAACCAAGAGUUCGUACUAAAAUAACACUAAAGCAAAUUCAGAUUCAUAAUACUCAAUCCGACACAAAGAACUUCAAAGAGUGCCCCAAGAUUUCUACCGGAGAAACAAAGACAAGAACAUGCAUCAACCCCUAUGCAUAGAUUACCCCAAUGUCACCUCGGGAAUCAGCGAGUUGAGUGCCAAAACAUAUAUCAAGUGAAUCAAUACGAUACCCCAUUGUCACCACGAGUAUUCAAUUGCAAGACAUAUAUCAAGUGUUCUCAAAUCCAUAAAAGUAUUCAAUCCGAUAACAACGAAAUCUCAAAGGAAAAAACUCAAUUCAUCACAACAAGAUAGAGAGGGGAAAACACCAUAUGAUUCAACUAUAUUAACAAAGCCCGCGAUACAUCAAGAUCGUAACAUCUCAAGAACACAAGAGAGAGAGAGAUUAAACACAUAGCUACUGGUACAAACCUCAGCCCCGAUGGUGGACUACUCCCUCCUCAUCAUGGCGGCCGCCGGGAUGAUGAAGAUGGCCACCGAUGAUGAUUUUCCCCCUCCGGCAGGGUGCUGGAAAGGGUCUAGAUUCGUUUUUGGUGGCUACAGAGCCUUGCGGCGGCGGAACUUGAUGUAUGGCGGAUUUAUAGGAACCACCGCACUGUUAAGUGGGGUCCAAGUGAACAAAGUCGGAGUGACUGAAGUGAUGCUCAACCAAAUCCUAAGUCUUCGAGCAAAGACAAUGAGAGCAAAUCUUAAGCUGGAUGAGUCAGCUUUAUUUGUAGCCCAAGUCAAGCUGCUGCGUGUGUUUGAAAUCCGACCGUUGGACACGUGUCAGUUCCUUAGUGACCCAGGGUCAUUUUGGACAAAUCAGGUCGGGUUGUCUCCUGGCUAUAAAUAGCCCACCCCUACACCAUAAAUUGGUGGCUACUCAGAGUUAGUGCACGGCUUUUGUCGUCUGAGAGCAACCCACCUCCGAAGCAUUUGAGAGAGCGAUCCUUGCGAGAACAAAGCCCAAAACACCCAGAGCCAAAGAGUGUUAGGCAUCACUAAAGUCUUUCUGUCUGAGUGAUCUGAAACUUGUUAGACUUGAGGACUGUGAAUCCUCCAGUCGGUUAGGCGUCGCGUUCUGAGCAUCCAAGAGUCAUUUUGGAUUGCCGGUGAAUGAAGUCUGUGAAGGUUUGGAAGUCUACCUUGAAGACUUACCAGAGUGAUUGGGCGAGGACUAUGUGUUCUUAGCUCAAGGGGAAUAAGGCGAAGACGCGGUCUUCUGAGUUGAAUCUUAGCCUCCCUAAUCAGACGUACAGUUGUCACAGCAACUGGGACUGGUCCAACAAAUCCCUGUCCUCACCAAGCAACUGGUUCUAUCUCUUACCUCCCUUUACUUACAGUCUGUCUUCGAGAAGUCAUUGCCUGCUUGCAUGAUCUGAUUGUCUUCACUGUGCAAAGACUGCUGUUGAUUGGCUUCAUACUAUCUUCCAUCCUGAUCCAUACUACCUAGCUGCUGAUAGUCUUUGUGCUUUCACUUCAUUGCUUACUUGAUUAUGGCUUGUCUAGUGUAGUCUACCUUCCGCUGCAUAUCAAUAGGUUUAUCUCUUCUGUUUGUCUUCAAAGCCCCUGUGUUUUGAAGACUUUCAUAAAAAUUGCCUAUUCACCCCCCUCUAGUCGAUAACUAGCACUUUCACUUUGCAUUGGGUCAUUACAUGUGACCAAGUUACCAGGAAAAAUAAUAAACUUUUAAUGCGGUAAUUCUUUUAAAAAAGUGUUCUCAGAAAUGAGUUAUCAUGUGUGAAGAUUCAUGGCUUUCAAGCCAAAUGAUCAAUCUUAUGGCCACAUUCAUGGCAUAGUUUUUUUAAAAUGAUCUUAUAUUGCUCAUAAGGGUCCAUCUUGGAAUGGCAAACAAUGUUGCCUAAGGGAGUUUUCAUUUUCUUUGGAUGAAAAAUCAUUUUUCCAUUUUUCGAGUGCCCAAAAUGAGUUUUUUUGUGAAGGACCUACCAUAUAUUUGUUGCAAAAUUCGACCAAAUAAAUUUUCUAAAAUACUAGGACAUAUUUAAUGCACAAUUGACCAAAUGGUUGGGUGUAAAAAGUUUGGAUCCACCUCUGGUAAAAAGAAAAAUUUCCGUCGAUUCAGUUGGAAGCGGGUCAAAUUUGAACUGCGGCUGCCUCAUAGUUUGCUCUUUAUUUUUUUUCAAAAAUCAUUUAUAGGUACAUAAGUAUCUAUUUAAUCUUGGAUUUUUUUUGUGUUUCUCUGAUUAAAUAGAUACUUAUGUGUGAAUUGGAAAACCUUUGCAUUGUGUCAUUACAUGUGACCAAGUUACCGGGAAAAAUAAUAAACUUGUAAUGCAACAAUUUAAAAAUAAAGUGGGCACAACCCACUUGGGCGAGCCUGGGCUCCCAGGCGCGCCCUGGUGGGUUGUGCCCCCCUCGGGGCACCCCCCCCAGGUGCUGCUCUGGCCCAUCCUGGGUGUCCUGGUCCAUAAAAAAUCUCCAAAAAGUUUCACAGUGUUUGAACUUCGUUUGAUAUUGAUUUCUUGCGAUGUAAAAAACAAGCAAAAAACAGCAACUGGCACUGGACACUGGGUCAAUAAGUUAGUCCCAAAAAACGAUAUAAAGUUGCUAUAAAAUGAUUGUAAAACAUCCAAGAAUGAUAAUAUAUCAGCAUGAAUACUUCAUAAAUUAUAGAUACAUUGGAGACGUAUCAGCUGCCUCCCGAGGAGCGGAGAUUUCUAUGUAGGUGCCCACCUCGUGAGGUUGAGGUGACGCAAGCCAUGACGACCAAGGCCAGGUGGGCGCAGAGGAGCAGGUUUCCUCUUUGGUGCUAAGGAGGCAAGCGCAGGCGCGGGGUCCCGAGGAAUCAGCGAAAGGUUUCCAUUCCCGUGCAACAAGACCAAGACCGCCAGAACGGCAGGACGGAUGUCAUCACCGAGCCCACCGCAGCGUCACGAGUAGAAGCUUUGCAGGCGAAGACCACCUUUCAUUAGGAUAAGAUGUUACUUGUCCCCUUUCAAAAUUGGCCAUUGUGGGAUCCCUUCCCGCCUACAUUUUGGGGGAAGAGGACCGAGGCCACUAUAAAUAUAGGUUAGCCACCACCAUAGGGGAAGGCCGAUCCCUUUCCACCCUCACCAGAGCAGACCUCGCGAGGUUGUUCAUCCCUUAUACUAGUUCAUCCUCAGCCCCUUGUGAGGCUAAUCCACCUGAAAGUAGGAGUAGGGUCUUACACCGCAAGGUGGCCCGUGUAACACCCCGAGAAUCAUGCUACAGUAAUCCCCUUUAAAUGAUGCCUUGUCAUCAUUGUUACUGUUGCUAAUCUCACUUUGAUUCUAUUCCCGUACAAAUCUCAAUUUCAAAUUAAAGUAAAAAUUCUAAAUUGCUCAAACAUGAAAACUAAAAUGCUCAUCAUGUGGCAAAUAUCCUUUUGGCAAUAUUGGUGGUGAACCAACAUUUUUGCAAAGUGUUUAAAUGCCCUAAACUAAUUAAAACAAUGGUUAAAACGUUGCUUAAAUGCCUUUUUGUUUUAUAAAAAUGCUAAGCUAAUUUAUUUAACUACCAAACUAAUUGUGGCAGUAGUCUAAAUUAUAAUAAUAAUUUAGGUUCAACCUUUGAGUUUUAUAAAACUGUUUUGCCUUUUGAAAUUAAAAGAAAACAAAGAAGUUUCAAAAAAGAAAAGAAAAGAAAAGCCCCCCACUGGGCAACCGGCCCAGCUGGCCACCAGGCCGACUAGGCCGGCCCACCCCACUCCCCUAUACACCCCCUCUGCCCAAACCCAAACCAAAACCUAGCACCCCCACUCCCCCCACUCAUUCGCCUGUCCCCUCCCCCUCCUCUCGUUCCCGAUCUGGAUCGGGAAGGGGAGCGAUCNNNNNNNNNNNNNNNNNNNNNNNNNNNNNNNNNNNNNNNNNNNNNNNNNNNNNNNNNNNNNNNNNNNNNNNNNNNNNNNNNNNNNNNNNNNNNNNNNNNNNNNNNNNNNNNNNNNNNNNNNNNNNNNNNNNNNNNNNNNNNNNNNNNNNNNNNNNNNNNNNNNNNNNNNNNNNNNNNNNNNNNNNNNNNNNNNNNNNNNNNNNNNNNNNNNNNNNNNNNNNNNNNNNNNNNNNNNNNNNNNNNNNNNNNNNNNNNNNNNNNNNNNNNNNNNNNNNNNNNNNNNNNNNNNNNNNNNNNNNNNCGAGGACCCGAAGCCGCCUAACGCUGCCCCGCCGUCCCCGCGUCCCCAUCCUCAUCCCCACCGGACUGCGCCCGCCUUCCCGCCGUCGCGACGCCGCCCCGUCGUCCUCGUCUCCUCCUCGCCGAACGCAACCCCGACUCCUCCCCAAGUCCGCUGCCAUUCCCCUACGGCCCCGCCGUGAGCACCUCCCUCCUCCUCCCUCGCCUCCUCUGUGCGCGCGCCCGACGUCACCGUGCGCCCCGGCUGCCCCGCCUGCAGUCGCCGCGGACCGCGGACGCCCACAGCCGUGUCGGCCAUGCCGUCGCCCUUGUCGGCUACCUCUGCACCGCCUCCACUCGCCGGCGGCUACAGCGCGUCCCUCCUCUGCAACCCCAUUGCCACUUCCCACCGCGACAUCCUGCCCCUCGCCGUGCUCCCCCGCACCCCGUAUUGCGACCAGCGCCGUCCGCGAGCGAGCCCCGCCGAGCCCGCUCGCUGGCCGCGUCCCUCGCCCAGCGCCAGCCUCGCCGCCCACCUCUGUCCCCGCUUCGCCGCACCACCGCGUCGUUGCUCGCCGUCCGCCCGNNNNNNNNNNNNNNNNNNNNNNNNNNNNNNNNNNNNNNNNNNNNNNNNNNNNNNNNNNNNNNNNNNNNNNNNNNNNNNNNNNNNNNNNNNNNNNNNNNNNNNNNNNNNNNNNNNNNNNNNNNNNNNNNNNNNNNNNNNNNNNNNNNNNNNNNNNNNNNNNNNNNNNNNNNNNNNNNNNNNNNNNNNNNNNNNNNNNNNNNNNNNNNNNNNNNNNNNNNNNNNNNNNNNNNNNNNNNNNNNNNNNNNNNNNNNNNNNNNNNNNNNNNNNNNNNNNNNNNNNNNNNNNNNNNNNNNNNNNNNNNNNNNNNNNNNNNNNNNNNNNNNNNNNNNNNNNNNNNNNNNNNNNNNNNNNNNNNNNNNNNNNNNNNNNNNNNNNNNNNNNNNNNNNNNNNNNNNNNNNNNNNNNNNNNNNNNNNNNNNNNNNNNNNNNNNNNNNNNNNNNCGCGCCCAGCGCCACUCCGCCGCGCCGCGCACUCCGGCGUCCGACGCCCAGUGCCCGCGCCCGCGCCCCCUGGGGCUCCGCCCCUGCCCGUUCGCCCGUAACCUCACAUCCGCCCCGCUUAGGCCCUCGGCCUAUCGCGGAUGGGGCCCACGCCCUUGUCUUAAGAAAAACGAAAAAAAGAAGUGUUAAUAAAAAUAAAAUAAAUACUAAAAUAAUUAAUUAAUUAAUUAGUGGUUCAGUUAAUUAACUUAAUUAAUUUUGCCUAAUUAACUAAUUAGCUAAUUAGUUAGUCAGAGGACUCUAUGACAGUGGGGCCCCACCCCUAGUUAGCUUAAUUUAAACCCCCUUUUAAAAUAGGUGACACUAACAGAUGGGCCCCAUUGACCCUGUUGACUAUUCAACUUUGACCCAGUCAACGCUGACUGUACUGCUGACUGGGCAUUGACCGGCCCCACACGACAGGGUUGACCAUGGUCAACUCAGCUGACUGAUGAUGUCAUGAUGACGUCAUGUUGGUGCAAUAAUCCUAUUUUAGUUUAAUAAUAAAUCUAGGAUAUUGCUUAAACUUCAUAAAUUCAUAUAAAAUAAUCUGUAACUCGGAUGAAAAAGUUUUAUACAUGAAAGUUGCUCAGAACGAUGAGACGAAUCCGAACACGCAGUCCGUUUACCUGUCAGAUGCCUCUAACUAUCUGAACAUGGAACAUUCCCCCUCCGGUCAUCUGUUUGACACAGGUCCGGAACCGGGAAUACAUUCCCGGUUGAAUUCCCCCUUCACCUAUAUCGUGUAGCCAUGCGUUAGGUCACACCCGACACAGCAUAUUGCCACGUUAUGCUUUGUGAUGCUAUGUUUGCUUUAUAUUUACUGUUUCUUCCCCCUCUUCUCUCCGGUAGACCCCGAGACCGAUGCUGCCCCUGUGAUCGAAUACGUCGACGACGACCCCUCCUUGCCAGAGCAACCAGGCAAGCCCCCCCUUUGAUCAUCCCAAUAUCGCCCAUUCCAUUCUCUCAUGCUUGCAUUAGAUUUUGCUACUGUUAUUGUUUGCUCCUAUUCUGAUGCAUAGCCUGCUUUUGUAACCUGCUUAUUGUUACCUACCUGCUUAUCCUAAACUGCUUAGUAUAGGUUGGUUAGUGAUCCAUCAGUGACUCCCACCUUGUCCUUGUUGCCCCUGCUUCAUCAUCGAAGACCCGAUCAAUGGGAUCAAAGACCAGGCCCCGGCACCGCACAUCACUUUCCCCUUAGUUGCUCGACACUACUGGGUUACUAUCGAGUGCCGAGGGUGAGACCUCUACAGCACUUCUGAUGUUAACCCUGUAGUGUAGCUAUUCGGUCGUGGUCAUCGAGGGUGAUUCCGCCUUAACCACUUCCGAUACGACUCUGUCGUGCAACCCCUCAAGUGUGAACCUCGGGGGUGAUUCCUCUUGCGUUCACCUUGAUGAUUACAUCGAGUGGAAUUCACCGGGGGUCGGCCCUGAGGGGUACCCGCGCGAGCUUAAUUGCGAGUGAUGUGGAGACGGGUUGACCUGGAGGGUGCCCGCGAGAUAAUUACGAGGCGUGGCCGGGCAUUCCUAGCCCUUGCCGCAAGUCCUCAAGACGGGGCAACGGGGUCACAUAUUUCGUGAGUCUUUGCUUGUUACCGUGCGUUCCUAAUCCACUACGAUUUGGAUAUUUGAUCCGAGGGGCCUCUGGCCUGAUAGCACUAACCAUCACGUGGGCAUAGUAUGGGCGUUCUGCGUCGUAUACAUCAGUCAAAGCUUAAUAGACGUCAGCGACUGAGCGGCGCGCGCCGGGUUGGACUGCGUAAGCACCUGCCUUAUUGAAGGAGGUAGCUAGGUCUGCUCACCGGCCGUGUUUGCAACGUGCAGGAGUUCCCGGGGAGAUGGCCCAUGACCCCUGGGGGCAUAGGUUUAGUCCGGCGUGCUGACCUCUCUAUUAAGCCUAGGUCGGGUUGCGGCGUAUUGUUUGGCCGAGGCCGGGCAUGACCCAGGAAAGUGUGUCCGGCCGGAGUUAAUCGAGCGUGGUGGGUAAGUUGGUGCACCCCUGCAGGGAAGAAAAGAUCUAUCAAUAGCCUGUCCUAUGGUAACGGACACUUGGAGUUGUAUCCCGAUCGAUACAACUAGAACUGGAUACUUGAGAUGAGACAUGGAUAUGAGAAAUGGAUAGUAUGGCUCUGGGAUUGCUUUCUUGCAGGGAGUCGAGAAAGGAUCUCUGGCUGAGGUUGAUAACACUUCUACUACUUUACUCUAUGCUACUCUACUCCCUCCUGUUGCUACAAGAUGGUGGUUUCCAGAAGAUGCUAGUCUUCGAUAGGCUAGGCUUUCCCCUUCUCUUCUGGCAUUCUGCAGUCCAGUCCACAGAUACAACCCUUUUCAUUGAUACCGAUGCAUAUGUAGUGUAGAUCCUUGCUUGCGAGUACUUUGGAUGAGUACUCACGGUUGAUUUGCUCCCCCUUUUCCCCCUUUUCCAUUCUUCUCGGAUGUCGCAAGCAGAUGGUGGAGCCCAGGAUCCAGACGCCACCUUCGACAAUGACUGCUACUACACUGAGGGUGCCUACUACUACGUGGAGGCCGCCAACGACCAGGAGUAGUUAGGAGGCUCUCAGGCAGGAGGCCUUGCCUUUUCGAUCGUAAAUGCUUUUGUGUUGUCCUUCUUAAGGCAAACUUGUCUAACUUAUGUCUGUACUCAGAUAUUGUUGCUUCCGCUGACUCUUGUGUUUUCGAGCUUAUAUAUUCAAGCCCUCGAGGCCCCUGGCUUGUAAUAUAAAGCUUGUAUUAUUUUAAUUUGUGUCUAGAGUUGUGUUGUGAUAUCUUCCCGUGAGUCCUUGAUCUUGAUCUACACAUUUGCGUGUAUGAUUAGUGUACAAUUGAAUCGAGGGCGUCACAAGUUAGUAUCAAAGCCGACUGCCUGUAGGUAGCCCCCUUUCCAACUCCUUGGCCAAAGUUGAGUCUAGUCAUCCAAAACUGUUUUACUAACUUGGCUGUGUGGCUUACGGGCGCACGUCGCCAUUGGGUGGUAUUAGGAUCUUUCAUUCCUCGUCUAUACUCUUGGACUCUGAUCUCUCGUCUAUUCGGGUUAAACAUUUUACUAACUCUGACAUUAGGCUCUCGUACCCACUUCCUCCCGGAGAGCCCCGACAUUAUCGAUGAUCGGUUGCUUCGCCAGAAGAUUCUGCGGAUACUCCUCGAUGUUUCCUGAGACCCUGUGCCCACUGCUUUGCAGUUCCUGACCACCGAUAAGUCCCCAUGGAUAACAUCCUUGCCGUUUGUACCUUCAUCCCCGGUUGCUCUUGUUGUUACAAGUUACCCCUAACACUCUCCGUUGUUCCGAGAAUCCUUUGUGCCUUAUGCUUGUCAGCUUCUUUUCGCACUAUGGAUAAUUUACUUACCCGGGGUCCGUUCCUCCCCAGUUGUUCACGUGCUUUCCAAAAUACUUUGAAAUGCUAUCUGAUCUCCCAAAAAUCCUCCACAGCCUUUUACUUUUGAUUCACCUUGCCUGCUUGUAUUAUGGUUAAUUCCAUAUGUCUAGCAAUAUUUAUUAAGAACCUUUGUGUUUGUCAUUCUGUUCCUAUGAAUUCUACGUAUAUGCGACUACUCGCAAUCAUCAAUUGAUCCAUAGGAAUUUUCUUUCCGGCUCAGACAUCAUUCCGGAUAUGAGCUGGUUCUUGCCCAAUCAAGAUUCGAUCGGUGUGCCUCUAAGUCUGUUCAACCUAUCCAUCUUCGAUCGGAGCAUCUGAUUCUAAUACACCGAUCUAGAAAUCAAAUCAUCUUGUAUUUAAGCAUUGAAUUAUUCAGAUGUUACCAUAAACCGGUGCCCUUGCAUUUCUUAUUCUUCUGGUUGAAUACUGAUACUCACAUCAACUCCGUCGUGAAUCGCCAGGUCCUUUGUUGGAUUUUAUCUGACAGUGUCCUUCAUAUUCUAUCACCUUGUGAAUAAUGCCUUUGGUAAAUUUGUAUCCUCUGCUUUUGUCAACCAUGCUUUACCUUCGAACUUGCGUUAAUUAUUCUUGAAAUUCAUGGUAUAUGUUCCUAAGAUGCCCCUAAGGGUUAAACCUAUGCCUUCCCUAGUCCGUGUGAACCCAAGAGUUUUCACGAGUCAUACUCUUCUGGUAUUUUGCCAGAUAUAUUUUCAAAACCACAACUUCAUCGAAAGUGAGAAGUGAAUGAGAGGUUAUGCAUUGAAGAAGUGGGAGUCGAUCUUGAACUUUGUGUUCAUGCCACUGGAACCGAUGUAGAACUUAUCGUGGAAGCUGCUCGUAAAAAUGAUUACCCCUUGUUAUAAGUUCAUCUUGUAUCGGUGGUUUGAUCAUUCAUAACCGUGGUUCCGACCAUAGUUUCUCCUUAAUUCCAUUUCCCGGACAAGUUAAAAUACUUGUCUCCUGCAAGUCAUUUCACCUGUCCAACCUCUAAUUUGACCUACCUUCAAGUAUUGCCUCAUGUUAUCUCGAGGAUAUUGUGUCACUGCACUACCUCUUGUAAAUUCUUAAUUGAAGUGAUACUCCGUCACAUCAUUCCUAGCCUGUUUGGCUACAUCAUUAUCGUCCUAAAUUUUAACUGUGCUACCUGGUCCUUUCCGGAGCACAAUUCUUCAAUGAUGAGCUAAGCUUACGUCGCUCUUCCCCGUCUUAUCAUUUUGCCUUGAACAACAAGCUUGGUUUCGAGUUUGUGUCGUACCCGUGGUUCCAAUAACCUUUCGCUCAUCAUUCCUUUGACUUGAUGUCAUCGUCGAACGAUUACCUCUUCAUGAAAUCUCUCGACAAAGGUGUCGUGAUCAUCAUCAACAUUCUGAGCUCUUCCAGGAUAUCAAUUGAAUUCGUGAUGAGAAAUACCCUCCUUGCCCCUCGAUGAUUUGUGUUAUCAUCGACAACAUUCUUGCUUUCCCCCCUAGACAAACUUGUUCAUAUAAUUUUGGAAAUACAUCCUUUCGACAUGCCGAGGGAUUGCAGCUGAACCCAUCGGCCACAUCCUCAUCCUUUUCCUGAUAAAAUUGCAUGAGAUGUUCUAAAAAUUCCCAAUGGAUCCUUUGUGUAUCCGAAGUCUGACCUUUCCCUGAUGACCAUGUCAACACUAUCCCGAAGCAUGUGUGUGGUACUCCGAUCAUCAACGAGAACAUUGGGAGCGCAAUGCUAACUGUUCUUGAUCAAUUAUCCAAACACCGUUGUAUGGGUAAACCUCAUAAAUUCCUUGCCCCUUUGUCUAAAUGGUUUAAUACUUGGAGCCCUAUCAUGCUCUGCCUUUCCUUGGGAAAGUUAUACCCUAAUACUUGGGUAUAAACACAUUUUCCUUUCCAUUGGUCUGAUUAAUCCGAUAAUUUCAUUUUCCUUUCCGUUGGCUUGUUUAAUCUUCUUGUGAUCUAUAUGAUAUAAGCAGAAUAAUUCCCUGCUUAUAAAACACCCCGAUGUACAACCUUGUCAGUGAGACCCUGUUACUAUUGUUGAUGACAUUCCGGUAACCACCGAUGGACGCGAACCUUGCCGAUUGGUCCGCCUCGUUCAACGAGCAGGAAUAUGGUUCUCUUCGUCCCUCGCCCUUGGUACCAAACCUUGUUGCCAACAUAACUGACAGGCUAUCCUCUAACCUAUCUUGCUAUCAUGAUCAUGCAAGAUGACAGCGCCCUCCCUACUUUUAACCCACAUGGUGGGCCCAUAACCCACAGUUCCACAGGAUCGAAACCUGACUCUCCUGUACGUCCCUGUUUUCCAAAACUGUCCCUCGCGCUUGGCUUACCCACGUAGUGAUCUAUUCUGGUAUCAUACGCAAUACUUAUUCCCAUUGCUCUGAACCCCUUUCACCCUCUGUUUCAGGCAACGAACGAUUGCCUACCCGGUUGAAGCUUCUUAUUGCUCCUUCUUACCUUGCUCUCGAUGACUUUCUUGAAUUUCAACUCGAGAGAUGCCUCUAUGCCACGUUCACCGAGAUAGCCCCCAGGUACCUAUCUUGUUUUGAACUCCAUCCAUCCCGAGUCUUCCCCAUUACUCCACCUCUUAAAUCUCGAGACGAGAUUUCUUGUAGUGGAGGAGAUUUGUAACACCCCGAAAAUCAUGCUACAGUAAUCCCCUUUAAAUGAUGCCUUGUCAUCAUUGUUACUGUUGCUAAUCUCACUUUGAUUCUAUUCUAGUCCAAAUCUCAAUUUCAAAUUAAAGUCAAAAUUCUAAAUUGCUCAAACAUGAAAACUAAAAUGCUCAUCAUGUGGCAAAUAUCCUUUUGGCAAUAUUGGUGGUGAACCAACAUUUUUGCAAAGUGUUUAAAUGCCCUAAACUAAUUAAAACAAUGGUUAAAACGUUGCUUAAAUGCCUUUUUGUUUUAUAAAAAUGCUAAGCUAAUUUAUUUAACUACCAAACUAAUUGUGGCAGUAGUCUAAAUUAUAAUAAUAAUUUAGGUUAAAGCUUUGUGUUUUAUAAAAUUGUUUUGCCUUUUGAAAUUAAAAGAAAACAAAGAAAUUUCAAAAAAAGCCCCCCCACUGGGCCAACCGGCCCAGCUGGCCACCAGGCCGACUAGGCCGGCCCACCCCACUCCCCUAUACACCCCCUCUGCCCAAACCCUAACCGAAACCCAGCACCCCCAUUCCCCCCCACUCGUUCGCCUGUCCCCUCCCCCUCCUCUCGUUCCCGAUCUGGAUCGGGAAGGGGAGCGAUCCCGACCCCCUUCGCCGUCACCAUCUCCACUUGCCGUCGUCGACCACCGCCGCCGCACGAGGACCCGAAGCCGCCUAACGCUGCCCCGCCGUCGCCGCGUCCCCAUCCUCAUCCCCACCGGACUGCGCCCGCCUUCCCGCCGCCGCGACGCCACCCCGUCGUCCUCGUCUCCUCCUCGCCGGACGCAACCUCGACUCCUCCCCAAGUCCGCUGCCAUUCCCCUAUGGCCCCGCCGUGAGCACCUCCCUCCUCCUCCCUCGCCUCCUCUGUGCGCGCGCCCACCGUCACCGUGCGCCCCGGCUGCCCCGCCUGCAGUUGCCGCGGACCGCGCACGCCCACAACCGUGUCGGCCGCGCCGUCGCCCUCGUCGGCUACCUCUGCACCGCCUCCACUCGCCGGCGGCUGCAGCGCGUCCCUCCUCUGCAACCCCAUCGCCGCUUCCCACCGCGACAUCCUGCCCCUCGCCGUGCUCCCCCGCACCUCGUAUUGCGACCAGCGCCGUCCGCGAGCGAUCCCCGCCGAGCCCGCUCGCUGGCCGCGUCCUCCCCCAGCGCCAGCCUCGCCGCCCACCUCUGUCCCCGCUUCGCCGCACCACCGNNNNNNNNNNNNNNNNNNNNNNNNNNNNNNNNNNNNNNNNNNNNNNNNNNNNNNNNNNNNNNNNNNNNNNNNNNNNNNNNNNNNNNNNNNNNNNNNNNNNNNNNNNNNNNNNNNNNNNNNNNNNNNNNNNNNNNNNNNNNNNNNNNNNNNNNNNNNNNNNNNNNNNNNNNNNNNNNNNNNNNNNNNNNNNNNNNNNNNNNNNNNNNNNNNNNNNNNNNNNNNNNNNNNNNNNNNNNNNNNNNNNNNNNNGUCCGCGCCCAACGCCACUCCGCCGCGCCGCGCACUCCGGCGUCCGACGCCCGGUGCCCGCGCCCGCGCCCCCUCGGGCUCCGCCCCUGCCCGUUCGCCCGUAACCGCACAUCCGCCCCGCUAAGGCCCUGGGCCUAUGGCGAUGGGGCCCACGCCCCUGUCUUAAGAAAAACGAAAAAAGAAAUGUUAAUAAAAAUAAAAUAAAUACUAAAAUAAUUAAUUAAUUAAUUAGUGGUUCAGUUAAUUAACUUAAUUAAUUUUGCCUAAUUAACUAAUUAGCUAAUUAGUUAGUCAGAGGACUCUAUGACAGUGGGGCCCCACCCCUAGUUAGCUUAAUUUAAACCCCCCUUUUAAAUAUGUGACACUCACAGAUGGGCCCCAUUGACCCUGUUGACUGGUCAACUUUGACCCGGUCAACGCUGACUGUACUGCUGACUGGGCAUUGACCGGCCCCACAAAUCAGGGUUGACCAUGGUCAACUCAGCUGACUGAUGACGUCAUGAUGACGUCAUGCUGGUGCAAUAAUCCUAUUUUAGUUUAAUAAUAAAUCUAGGAUAUUGCUUAAACUUCAUAAAUUCAUAUAAAAUAAUCUGUAACUCGGAUGAAAAAGUUUUAUACAUGAAAGUUGCUCAGAACGACGAGACGAAUCCGAAUACACAGUCCGUUUACCUGUCAGAUGCCUCUAACAAUCUGAACAUGGAACAUUCCCCCUCCGGUCAUUUGUUUGACACAGGUCCGGAACCGGGAAUACAUUCCCGGUUGAAUUCCCCCUUCACCUAUAUCGUGUAGCCAUGCGUUAGGUCACACCCGGCACAGCAUAUUGCCACGUUAUGCUUUGUGAUGCUAUGUUUGCUUUAUAUUUACUGUUUCUUCUCCCUCUUCCCUCCGGUAGACCCCGAGACCGAUGCUGCCCCUGUGAUCGACUACGUCGACGAUGACCCCUCCUUGCCAGAGCAACCAGGCAAGCCCCCCCUUUGAUCAUCCCGAUAUCACCCAUUCCAUUCUCUCAUGCUUGCAUUAGAUUUUGCUACUGUUAUUGUUUGCUCCUAUUCUGAUGCAUAGCCUGCUUUUGUAACCUGCUUAUUGUUACCUACCUGCUUAUCCUAAACUGCUUAGUAUAGGUUGGUUAGUGAUCCAUCAGUGACCCCCACCUUGUUCUUGUUGCCCCUGCUUCAUCAUCGAAGACCCGAUCAAUGGGAUCAAAGACCAGGCCCCGGCACCGCACAUCACUUUCCCCUUAGUUGCUCGACACUACUGGGUUACUAUCGAGUGCCGAGGGUGAGACCUCUACAGCACUUCUGAUGUUAACCCUGUAGUGUAGCUAUUCGGUCGUGGUCAUCGAGGGUGAUUCCGCCUUAACCACUUCUGAUACGACUCUGUCGUGCAACCCCUCAAGUGUGAACCUCGGGGGUGAUUCCUCUUACGUUCACCUUGAUGAUUACAUCGAGUGGAAUUCACCGGGGGUGAUUCCUCGGGUUUUCCCCUUGAUGUUUGGACACACAGUUACUAUGGUUACUAUGACUUUACACUGAACCAUGUUACUAAAGACGGGUCGGCCCUGAGGGGUACCCGCGCGAGCUUAAUUGCGAGUGAUGUGGAGACGGGUUGACCUGGAGGGUGCCCGCGAGAUAAUUACGAGCGUGGCCGGGCAUUCCUAGCCCUUGCCGCAAGUCCUCGAGACGGGGCAACGGGGUCACAUCUUUCAUGAGUCUCUGCUUGUUACCGUGCGUUCCUAAUCCACUACGAUUUGGAUAUUUGAUCCGAGGGGCCUCUGGCCUGAUAGCACUAACCAUCACGUGGGCAUAGUAUGGGCGUUCUGCGUCGUAUACAUCAGCCGAAGCUUAAUAGACGUCAGCGACUGAACGGCGCGCGCCGGGUUGGACUGCAUAAGAACCUGCCUUGUUGAAGGAGGUAGCUAGGUCUGCUCACCGGUCGCGUUCGCAACGUGCAGGAGUUUCCGGGGAGAUGGCCCAUGACCCCUGGGGGCAUAGGUUUAGUCUGGCGUGCUGACCUCUCUAUUAAGCCUAGGUCGGGUUGCGGCGUAUUGUUUGGCCGAGGCCGGGCAUGACUCAGGAAAGUGUGUCCGGCCGGAGUUAAUCGAGCGUGGUGGGUAAGUUGGUGCACCCCUGCAGGGAAGAAAACAUCUAUCGAUAGCUUGUCCUACGGUAACGGACACUUGGAGUUGUAUCCCGAUCGAUACAACUAGAACUGGAUACUUGAGAUGAGACAUGGAUAUGAGAAAUGGAUAGUAUGGCUCUGGGAUUGCUUUCUUGCAGGGAGUCGAGAAAGGAUCUCUGGCCGAGGUUGAUAACACUUCUACUACUUUACUUUAUGCUACUCUACUCCCUCCUGUUGCUGCAAGAUGGUGGUUUCCAGAAGAUGCUAGUCUUCGAUAGGCUAGGCUUUCCCCUUCUCUUCUGGCAUUCUGCAGUCCAGUCCACAGAUACAACCCUUUUCAUUGAUACCGAUGCAUAUGUAGUGUAGAUCCUUGCUUGCGAGUACUUUGGAUGAGUACUCACGGUUGCUUUGCUCCCCCCUUUUCCCCCUUUUCCAUUCUUCUCGGAUGUCGCAACCAGAUGGUGGAGCCCAGGAUCCAGACGCCACCUUCGACGACGACUGCUACUACACUGAGGGUGCCUACUACUACGUGGAGGCCGCCGACGACCAGGAGUAGUUAGGAGGCUCCCAGGCAGGAGGCCUUGCCUUUUUUAUCGUAAAUGCUUUUGUGCUGGCCUUCUUAAGGCAAACUUGUCUAACUUAUGUCUGUACUCAGAUAUUGUUGCUUCCGCUGACUCUUGUGUUUUCGAGCUUAUAUAUUCGAGCCCUCGAGGCCCCUGGCUUGUAAUAUAAAGCGUGUAUUAUUUUAAUUUGUGUCUAGAGUUGUGUUGUGAUAUCUUCCCGUGAGUCCUUGAUCUUGAUCGUACACAUUUGCGUGUAUGAUUAGUGUACGAUUGAAUCGAGGGCGUCACAGCCCGAACCUGGGUAAUUGAUGUGUCCAUCUUCUUCCUUCUUCACCGAGUUAGGCCGUGCGGACGACGAGAUGGCUGGCUAAAGAGGUCAAGUUCUUCGCACACGCCCCAGAGUUCGAACCUUUCUUGGAUCUGCGGAGCCCUGAAUAUCUUAACGCUCUUAUUGCACUUGAACAAUGAGAUUUUGACAAGAAGUCUGGGAAACAUGCAUUUAAUUCUAAUAUAAUCCCUAGAAAAAAAUGGUAUAAAAAACCGCUUUCAUGCACCUAGUGAAUAAAUUGCUUUUCCUAGUAUAUGAGAGAGGGGAAUUUUUUCGAUUAAACUUCACAUUCAUGCUUAUAAAUUUGUGGUGAAUUUAAACUUUCAUUCAAAUCACUAGUCAAUUUGCUAUAAAAUUUGACAUGACCUUUGCUCUUAUUUAGAGUUUUGGUUCAUUCUCAAAUCAUAAAUAGUAUGAAGGACUUAGAAGUUAAUAGUACAAUUCAAUAUGAAUUGGAAAUUCAUUUAUAAAUAAUAAACAACUGAAUAAGGGAAAAUCAAACUUUAUUGAUAAUUGGGAAAUAAUACAAAGUUAUGUUACAAAAAAAUAAAGGAAACUUUAUUAAAAAAUACCAUUACAAAUUCUUACAAAAAGAAUGAACAGUAAAUCUAUCUAUUUUCUAUCCUAUUAUAAAUCUUCAAGAUCUUCUUGAUCUUCUUCAUUUCCAAAAUCUGCAAAAGAAGUACCAAAGGAAAAAAAGAAAUUAUUAUUGUUAAAAGCGCCCCCUCCUUCAUGGAGGGAUAGUAAGAUUGAGCCCACCUCCAUCCUCUUCUCAAUUUCCCAAGUCGUCCUUCGUCUCGGUUCUAGUAUCGCGUUAGAUCUCUGAACUGAAGCCAGAUUGAGCUCGCCGUUUCCGGUGGGUCGUCGGCGUCGGAGUGGACGUUGGAGGGGCCAGUGUUUUGUGUGGCCGGGAGGGAGGGAGUGGGUUGGGUUCGUUAGUGGGUGACGUCGGCCCCGCAUCCCUCGCCUCGCGACUCGUCGUUGCUGCCUUUCUUAUGUGUCUGUCAGUAGGAGUGGUUGCCUCAGCCAACCACCGCUGUCCGUCACGCUAGGCCUUCUGGUGCGGAAAGAUAUUUGUGAUUCGUAAAUAAUAAAUAAAAAUAGGUAGUUAGACCGUUUAUUGAAAUGACACCAGCUGAAGGUCAACGUUUUCUGAGACCUUUUCAUAUUUCCAGUACAAUUUAUCCAAAACUUAGUUACCACAGAAUUCAGAGGAGCAUGCCUGGAAGUGUCGUAUUCCAUUUUUCUCUUGUUCGGAGCAUACAAUGUACACUGAUUUAUCUACUACUACCUCCGUUCCUAAAUAUAAGUCUUUUUAGAUAUUUCACUACGGACUAUAUAUGAAGUAAAAUGAGUAAAUCUACGCUCUAAAAUAUGUCUAUAUACAUCCGUAUAUAGUUCAUAAUAGAAUCUCUAAAAAGACUUACAUUUAGAAACGGAGGAAGUAUAUGGAACUUGCAGAAAUACGAGUGUAGCGACACCAGCUUGCUGACAUGCAUUCUCUCUCUCUCUUUGUGUUUUGACAGCUUGGCCGCCCUUUGUUGCUGCUGUCUGCUGGAAGCUUGCUUCUAAGUUCUAUAUUGAAAAUUGUGAUUGGUUGCUAAUUAGUACUCCCUCUGUCCUGUAAUGUAGGACGUUUUUGCAAGCUAACAAAAACGUCUUACAUUAUGGAACGGAGGGAGUAGGAGAUUACAAGAACUCCUUGACGUCAUGUUUGUAUGUUCAGAUGGUUGCUGCACCUUUUCACAAAAGAAGAGAUGAUUGAUGUACCCAGUGAACAAGAAAAAUCGAGCAUGAAAGCUCUAGCAAAGCCAGAAUACCCUGAAGAAAAGGCUAAUCCACGGCAUGCUGUCUGAAGAUAAAACUAAUUCACAGUAGAAUAUACUACUCCCUCCGUAAACUAAUAUAAGAACGUUUAGAUCACUACUUUAGUUAUCUAAACGCUCUUAUAUUAGUUUACAGAGGGAGUACCUUUUAUGUCAGACACACACCAAUAAUAACUUGGAAAUUCAGCAGGGUUUCAACAACAUAACAAACUUGGAAAUUCAGCAGGGUUUCAACAAAAUAACAGACCACGACAGUACCAAGGGAGUGCCACUAGUGAGCAUCCGACAGAUUACUGCUGCACACCAUUACAGCAGCAUACACACACAUACACAUAACAGAACGGAGGAGAGGCGAAAGCAUCAACUGAAGGCCGUCACUCAGUGGCAACCAGCGGCAUGUUUCUGCGGCCUGAUCCAGUCGUGCAGCACCAUGGUCACCCUGUCGUGCUGCUUCACGGAGGAUCCGUGCAGGAGCGGGGCGGCGCGGGCGAGGACGCGGUUGUAGUGGACGUACUCCUUCUGCCGGAACCUCUCCUGCUCGGGCGGCGUCAUCUCGUCCCACUGAGCGUGCAGCUUCUCUGACAGGCUCCGGUCGAUGUUGUACCUGGUGGCGCCGAAGCACGUCUGGCUCAGGACCCGCCUUGCCAGGGUCUGCAGGUCGGGCACGCGAGCCCCGUGGGUCGACCACCAUUCAACUGCGAAUGUCGAGUGAAGCGCGGUAAGAAGGUGCGUAAUUCAUGUAGUAUGAUAUGAACGGAUGAAUGAAAUGGUGAUCAUCUCAGUGGGUGUAAAUGUUUGGGUUUGAAAGUUGAAGUGAAAAUGGAAGAAGAGAAGGCUCCUGUACAGUUUAAGCAGACCAUAUAGCCCAGUUUGCAACUUGCAACUAACUAAGCAGCUAUGUUGACAAGCUUAGGCUGAUGCAGAGAACUUGAUUAUUCUACACGUUCAUCUGUAAACCUUUUAACUUCUCUACUACUCCCUCUGUCCCAUAAUGCAAAAACGUCUUACAUUAUGGAACGGCGGGAGCAUUUAUUUAAACAACCAUGUCGACAAGUUAGGCUAAUGCAGAGGAGUUGAACUUUGAAUAGAAGUGCACUUAUGACAUGAUAUAUUUGUGCCAUGUUCACAUGCUAACUAAAUAUGUUGGCGCACUGUAUGUUACGGUGCACAAAUGCACAUAUCAGAUUUUGUGGAGGACCUCAGACACUAUUCCAGCUCACUCUAAAGAUUGGAAAAAAUCAAGUACAUAUGACACAUAAAGGCACUACCGUCAGUGGCUUGUUAGGGAGUGGUCAUUUUGCAAUAGGUUAGGGUGUAGCUUACCUUGUGGUAAUUCCAUGAUUUGCUGCAUUGCUGGAUCUGUGUCGAAAUAGCCCAACUUCUUUUCAUACACUUCCAAUUGUGCAGACGCUUUUCUGGCAUUGUAAUGAGCCUUGCCCAGUUGGAUUGUGCAUGCCGCGAUGCCGCCGCUGAUCUCAGCAUCAGGCUGGAAUCCAGCUGUGUAAAAGAACCUUGGGUUUAGCAUCUGACCAGCAGCAUGGAGGGGACUAUGCAAGUAACCAUCCCAUAUCCUGUCAAUCAUACACCAAUAGAAGUCACUUUCAUAUCCGACACUGAGAGAUAUCUCUUCUUUUGCUCUGUCCAUGGCUUCAUACAAGAUACCCAUCGGACAGAUAUCAGAUUCCAGUUUAUACAACACAAUGACAAGUGGUUUUGUAACCUUCACGACUUCAGCAGCAGCAUGCCAAAAUUCAUCGUCUGUCUUUACUAUGCUCUGGAUAUGCUCAAACAAAUCAAGACAAGCCCAACCAGAGGGAACCCAUUUAGGCGAGCUGAACAUCUGCACCAGACCUACUCUUGCAGAAACUAACCUCUCUAAUGUGAUGAACACUGCCACAAAUCUCAGAUAAGAACUGCUCAAAAUCUCCACCUGAACAUAUCUUCCUUUCAGUUUCAUUGGCAGUGCAUGGCCAUAUAAAAACCUUGUAAUUUCCCUUGCCUUCAUUAGGACUUCACUGACAUGCUCGAGCGCUGCUAUUUUCUCAAGCAGAAGGUUGAUGCAAUGGUCAGCACAUAGCACGAAGAAAAAACUGUCAUAUUUAUUUAGCACAUACUGCCGUGCCAUCUGCAUAUGGGGUGACACGUCAUUCAUGACAAUCUGAACAAUGUUAUGGGCACCGACAUCAUCAACCACGCGAGAAAGCAUUGAUUCUAGCUCAUCCAAGUCCUCAGUGAUUUCAGAGACGUCAAUGGAUGUGAGGAACUGCGUACCUUUGCUGCAGUGCACCAGGACACUUACGAAGCUUUUGUCACACUUGCUCUUCCAACUAUCAACAAUUACAGUGCAGCCACUUGUUUGCCACUCUUGCUUGAGUUCCUUUGCGCGGUUCUCAGUUUCUCUUAGUUGCUCCUGCAGAACAGCUUCGUACGUAGGCUCAGGUGCAGGUUUGGAGAAGAACUUGCCUAUUGAUUUUGCUGACGGAGAAUCGAAGUAAUCACUUGCCUCAACCUUGGGUUUCAGUUGACAAGAAUUAUAUGUGAUUUCCUUGGGCUGCCUCAAAUACGGUAGAAAAUGAAGAAAGCAGCGGUUAUUGGAUACAGUUGGUUGUAGCUGUGGUUGCUGGACUUGAGCAGAUGGAAGGGCUGGGCUUGUGUGAGGAACCUCAUCAUGUUCAUGCUUCCGUUUCUUCAUUUUUCUGAGCAUCCAAGCUUUCUCUUCUUGCGAUCCACAAGUGAACUCCUUAAGCUUGUGCUGGCAUUGCCCCUGAUGUCUGCUAAAUGGUGCUCUAGGCGGUUGUAACUCAAAACCACCUUAACGCAGUAAUUGCAGCUCACUCUGCAACCUUCCUCAUCAAUGGUUUUGCCAUGCCUUUCUUUUCCACGGCUACUUGUCUGAGGAUAUUGUACAGAAAAAACCUGAAGGAAAGCAAUGAGAGAUACUUCAGUAAUGCAAAAAUUAAAAUGUCAAAUUCCCAAAACAUGAGUGCAACAUUUCACCAAUGAUUAGAUUUCAUCUGCUUCCUCUUAAUGACAGCACAUGAUGUAUGCUAGUGAUGAAUUUACCACAUGUCAACAGAGAAGACUGUGAUCCAACUAAACACUGUACCUUAGAAGUUUAUAAACACAGUAUUACUGGAUGAAACAGUUUGUUCUGUAUUUUUUUUCCCAAUAAAGAACAGUUUGUCUGUAUAACUCUUCAAGAAGAACACAUAAAGACUGCACGAUGAUCUUACAAAGCCAGUAACAUACCCCCUCUGACACCCUCCUCUCCCCCGCCGCUUGAUCUCCCUCCUCCGGCCAACUCCUCCACAACAAAGAGCAGAUCCGGAACCCUCUCGCCACCCAUACCGAAGUCCAGCGGCGCCGUCACCAGGGUCGGAGCCGCCGUCGACCUCCACGCCUGACUUCAUCCCAGCUCGCUCGCUCCCGUACGGCCCCCUCGGCCGCACCGGGGCGCCCCAGCCGGCCGCCCUCGGCCUACCCUGCCUCGCCCCUCCCCCUCGCCGCCGCUGGAGGGUGCCGUCUGGGCAAAGUCUGGGCGGCACGGGCGGCAGCGGGGCCUCAACUGUCUUUGGCGGCGCUGGUUCUCGGGGCUCCGACGGGGGCCUCGUGAUCCCGUGCGGUGCCAGGCGUGCUGCCCGACGGGGGUCUGUGCAGCGCUCGGGCGACGGCUCCGGCCGCGAGGGGCGCGGUGGUGCGCGGAUCGGGGUGUGUGCACCGCUCAGCGGCUGUGCUGAUUGCGCCCGGUUUCCUUUAGUACUGUAUAUCUGUUUUUCGCUCGGUGUUUCCUAAUUAAUCAAGAAACUUAUCUUUUUAAUGAAUGCAGAAAUCCCGUCAUUCGGAAAAACAAUACCCCUCUGAAACAAAUGGCGUGCAGUGACUUUUUUCCUGAUACUAAAAUUAAAAAAAGUUCAUAGUUUUAGCAAUUCCUUCAAAUCGGCUCAAACCCCUUUCAAAACCUAACAUUACGCUGCCCAAUUCACAAAAAACAGACAAAACCUAAAAUGAAGAAAGGGGAAUUCUUCGGGCAUGCUCCAAUGCACACCCUCUGUGUAGAAGAAAGCCGCAAAUGACUUUGACUGUUUGCCAUUUCUGGACAUUGACGAGACGACGGGUUUUAGUUGAGGAAAGGACAUUCACUGAUGGGUGGGUGAACAAAUUUUGUUGGAGAACAACAUUUCAUUCUUUUUACCAUGAUAUGCUUUUAAUAGUUAGAUCAGCAAUUAUUUCUGAAAUCGCGGUCACCAGAAAAGGCAACAGAAACUUCGGUGGAUUAUUGGGGCAAACCUCGAUGAACCAAGCAUGGUUCGAAAGAGAAUCCUACGGGGGUGGAUGUGUACUAGAGAGACAUUGGAAAACAAACAAAGAUAGGCUGGAAAAAAAUGUAAAACCCAAGUGAGAUGGGUGUUGUGUUGGAUACAUAUUCACUUGAUUGGUUACUUCGGAGAAUUUCAUCGGCAUAAACAAAAUUCCAAAGAACACCUUGGGAUAAUCCUAGUUCUUAAUGUUGCAUUUGAACAAUGAGAUUUCAAAAAAAGCCCGAGAAAUAUGCAUUUAGUUCUAAUAUACUCCCUAGAAAAAUAGAAAUGGUAUCAACAAAAACCUUUUAUGCUCCUAGUGAAUAAAUUGCUUUUACUUACCUUUGACUUUAGAUCUCGUCUUCUCCGUUCCAAGUGGGGCAAUGGUUGUGGUGCGCUGGAAAAGGGUGAAUGGUGCGGCGCGUCUGGGCCUUGCUAUAAUCCUAGUUGAAUAUCUGAACGCACUUACUGCACUUGAACAAUGAGAUUUCCAUGGAAGCCUGGGAAAUAUGCAUUUAGUUCUAAUAUGCUCCCUAGAAAAUACAAAAGAUGGUAUGAAUAGAAUCCUUUAUGCUCCUAGAGAAUAAAUUAUUUUUUCUUACCUUUGACUUUGGAUCUCGCCGUCUUCAUCCAAGAUGUAAAAAGAGGAUGGCCUGGGCAGCGACUGUGGUGCGUCGGGAAAGGGCGGAUGGUGCAGUGCGCCGGUGCCUUAGAAUACCACAAUCUCACCUAAGAGGAAACACAUAGAUGAUGGAUUUACGAGGGCAAACAUAUCUAGAGAGUGGAAGUGGCGGCGGUGGAUGGAGGAGAAGAUAGUUAGAUCUGGACAAUGUUCAUGGUUGCCGGUGGAGGAGAAGAUAGUUAGGUCUAAGGAGUGGUGGUGGCGGCGACGGAUGGAGGAGAAUAUGGUUAGAUCUAGACAAUAUUGAUGGUUGCAGGUGGAGGAGAAGAUAGGUGGGUCUAGAUAAUGUUGAUGGUUGUGUCGUGUGGGAGGGGAUGGCUUUAUAGUCGCGCGGUUUGGGACUAGGGGUGCGACCACGAUCCGCGUGAUGCGGGGUGCGGGCCGUCAGAUUGGAGAUGGGUGGCGGAGAAUGGGGUAAACGAGGUGGCGCGGAUAGGUGACGUGGCGGGGUAGGCGUGUUUCUUUUCUAAGGGUGAGGUAGGGUGCGGGGAUGCGAGGAAGGCGUGCGUGUCGGGUAGGUGGAUGCCAGUUGGGACUGGGCGUUUUUUGGAUGGAUUGCUUUUGCGCACGGCGUUGCUCGCUGUCGCAAGUUUUGGAUGGAUAUCUGGUCGAUGGGCCCAUGAGGUGUGUGGUCGUGAUGAGACUAGUGCGAAGGCGUAAAAUCAAAUUACUGCUAGGACAAUUUGGAAAGCGUAUUUCUAUGUUUUCCACGGUCAAUUGAUACGAGGGGUGCUUCUUUCAGGUAUUGUAUAACACGCCUCAACAAAAAAAGUACUCCCUUUGUUCAACUAUUAUCUAGUUGUUUCUCAGCAGCGGCCGUCACGCCACAUAACACCUCGACUUGCCCCCCAGGGUCUCGGAGAGUUAGCGACAUAGCCGCCGACGUUUGAUGGCAAUGACGCCCCUCCUCUCCUUGUUGUGUUGUGUUUCGUGGUCACUGCUACACUCUAGCUUUUUCUUUCUGAUCAACGUGGCGCUCAGUGGUGGCAGAGAGGAGGGAGGAGGCGGCAAGAGCGAGGAAGGAACUGGGGUUUUGGGGCGAGAUGGAAAUGACUUUGUCCGUUUGCCAUUUCCGGAGAUAGAUGAGACUAGGGGCUUUAAUAGUUGGAAGGACAUCUACAGGUAGGUGGGUGGGUGGGACAAUUUUCUUUGGGAGAAAUAGCCUUUCUAUCGGCGUUCUGGGAACAAGGGUACCCAGACUUGCCUGCCUGCGGCCCAUGGCGUGGCUCCAUCGACGGCCUGGUAUGGCCCAUCCACAACACCUUCAAGACAAGACCCUCGCAAGGGGCCAAGCCUCGCGAGGCGGGCGACAUCAAGACCUCCGGGGGGAGCGGCCUGAAGGAAAUAUGCCCUUGAGGCAAUAAUAAAGUUGUUAUUUUAUAUUUCCUUAUAUCAUGAUAAAUGUUUAUUAUUCAUGCUAGAAUUGUAUUAACCGGAAACAUGAUAGAUUUGUGGAUACAUAACAAAACAUCGUGUCCCUGGUAAGCCUCUACUAGACUAACUUGUUAAUCAAAGAUGGUUAAGUUUCCUAACCAUAGACAUAUGUUGACAUUUGAUGAAUGGGAUCACAUCAUUAGGAUAAUGAUGUGAUAGACAAGACCCAUCCGUUAGCUUAGCAUAAUGGUCGUUCAGUUUUAUUGCUAUAGCUUUCUUCAUGUCAUAUACAUAUAUUCCUUUGACUAUGAGAUUAUGCAACUCCCGAAUACCGGAGGAAUGCCUUGUGUGCUAUCAAACGUUACAACGUAACUGGGUGAUUAUAAAUAUGCUCUACAGGUAUCUUCGAAGGUGCUUGUUGGGUUAGCAUAGAUCAAGAUUAGGAUUUGUCACUCCGAGUAUCGGAGAGGUAUCUCUGGGCCCUCUCGAUAAUGCACAUCAUAAUAAGCCUUGCAAGCAAUGUGACUAAUGAGUUAGUUGCGGGAUGAUGCAUUACAAAACGAGUAAAGAGACUUGACGGUAACGAGAUUGAACUAGGUAUGAAGAUACCGACGGUCAAAUCUCGGGCAAGUAACAUACCGAUGACAAAGGGAAUAACGUAUGUUGUCAUUACGGUAUGACCGAUAAAGAUCUUCGUAGAAUAUGUGGGAACCAAUAUGAGCAUCCAGGUUCCGCUGUUGGUUAUUGACCGGAGAGGUGUCUCGAUCAUGUCUACAUAGUUCUCGAACCCGUAGGGUACGCACGCUUAACGUUCGAUGACGAUUUUGUAUUAUCUGAGUUAUGUGAUUUUGUAACCGAAUGCUGUUCGGAGUCCCGGAUGAGAUCACGGACAUGACGAGGAGUCUCAAAAUGGUCGAGAGGUAAAGAUUCAUAUAUAUGACGACAGUAUUCGCACACCGGAAGUGUUCCGGGGGUACCGGCUACGUAUUGGGUCACCGAAAGGGUUCCGGGCACCCCCACGGCAAAGAAAUGGGCCUUAUUGGGCCUAGGGCGGGACAGACCAGCCCCUUGUGGUCUGGUGCGCCCCCAUAUGGGCCGAUCUAAGUGGAGAAAGGAAAAGGGGAAGAGGAAAGGAAAUAGAGGGAAUAGGAUUCCCCCUUCCUUUCCCCUCUCCCCUCUUUCCUUCCCCCCUCCGGAGAUAAGGAAAGGGGGAGGCCGAAUUGGAGGAGGCCCCAAGUAGGAUUCCUCCUACUUGGGGUGCCCCAAGGCUUCUCCCCUCCCUCUCCCACCUAUAUAUAAAUGGGGAGGGGGUGCCUAGAACACACACCAACAAUUGUUAGCCGUGUGCGGCGUCCCCCUCCACAGUUUACGCCUCCGGUCAUAUUCACGUAGUGCUUAGGCGAAGCCUUGCGUGGAUUACUUCACCAUCACCGUCGCCACGCCGUCGUGCUGACGGAACUCUCCCUCGACACUUUGCUAGAUCAAGAGUUCGAGGAACGUCAUCGAGCUGAACGUGUGUAGAACUCGAAGGUGUCGUACGUUCGGUGCUUGAUCGGUCAGAACGAGAAGAAGUUCGACUACAUCAACCGCGUAAACAAACACUUCUGCUUUCGGUCUACGAGGGUACGUGGACACACUCUCCCCCUCUCGUUGCUAUGCAUCUCCUAGAUAGAUCUUGUGUGAUCGUAGGAUUUUUUUUGAAAUUGCAUGGUACGUUCCCCAACAGUGGCAUCUGAGCCAGGUCUAUCCGUAGAUGAUAUGCAUGAGUAGAACACAAAGAGUUGUGGGCGAUAAUAGUCAUAAUGCUUACCACCAACGUCUUAUUUUGAUUCGGCGAUAUUGUUGGAUGAAGCAGCCCGGACCAACCUUACAUGACCACGUUCAUGAGACCGGUUCCACCGACAGACAUGCAACUUGUUUUGCAUAAAGUUGGCUGGUGGGUGUCUGUUUCUCCAACUUUAGUUGAAUCGAAUUUGACUACGGCCGGUCCUUGUUGGAGGUUAAAACAUCACACUUGACGAAAAAUCGUUGUGGUUUUGAUGCGUAGGUAAGAACGGUUCUUACUAGAAGCCCGUAGCAGCCACGUGAAACUUGCAACAACAAAGUAGAGGACAUCUAACUUGUUUUUGCAUGACAUGUUGUGAUGUGAUAUGGUCAAUACAUGAUGUGAUAUACGUUAUUUUAUGAGAUGAUCAUGUUUUGUAAAAGUUACCAUCAACUGGCACGAGCCUUAUGGUUGUCGUUUUAUUGUAUGAAAUGUAAUCGCCAUGUAAUUGCUUUACUUUAUCACUAUGCGUUAGCGACAGUCAUAGAAGCAAUAGUUGGCGAGACGACAACGACGCUACGAUGGAGAUCAAGGUGUCAAGCCGGUGACAAUGGAGAUCAUGACGGUGCUUUGGAGAUGGAGAUCAAAGGCACAAGAUGAUGAUGGCCAUAUCAUGUCACAUAUUUUGAUUGCAUGUGAUGUUUAUCGUUUAUGCAUCUUAUUUUGCUUAGUACGGCGGUAGCAUUAUAAGAUGACCCCUCACUAAAUUUCAAGGUAUAAGUGUUCUCCCUGAGUAUGCACCGUCGCGACAGUUCGUCGUGCCGAGACACCACGUGAUGGUCGGGUGUGAUAAGCUCUACGUUCACAUACAACGGGUGCAACACAGUUUUGCACAUGCGGAAUACUCGGGUUAAACUUGACGAGCCUAGCAUGUACAUACAUGGCCUCGGAACAUAGAGACUGAAAGGUCGAACGUGAAUCAUAUAGUAGAUAUGAUCAACAUAGAGAUGUUCACCAUCGAAAACUACUCCAUCUCACGUGAUGAUCGGACAUGGUUUAGUUGAUUUGGAUCACGUGAUCAUUUAGAUGACUCGAGGGAUGUCUAUCUAAGUGGGAGUUCUUAAGUAAUAUGAUUAAUUGAACUUGAAUUUAUCAUGAACUUAGUCCUGAUAGUUUUUGCAUAUCUAUGUUGUAGAUCAAUGGCCCGUGCUACCGUUCCCUUGAAUUUUGUUCCUAGAGAAAGCUAAGUUGAAAGAUGAUGGUAGCAACUACAUGGACUGGGUCCGUAACUUGAGGAUUAUUCUCAUUGCUGCACAGCAGAAUUAUGUACUUGAUGCACCGCUAGGUGCGAGGCCUGUUGCAGGAGCAACUCCGGACGUUAUAACGUCUGGCAAACUUGAUCUGAUGACUACUCGAUAGUUCAGUGUGCCAUGGUCUACGGCUUAGAAUUGAAACUUCAAAGACGUUUUGAACGUCAUAGAGCAUAUGAGAUGUUCCAGGAGUUGAAGUUAAUAUUUCAAGCAAAUGCCCGAGUUGAGAGAUAUGAAGUCUCCAACAAGUUCUAUAGCUGCAAGAUGGAGGAGAAUAGUUCUGUCAGUGAACACAUACUCAGAAUGUCUGGGUACUUGAUACGUCUCCAACGUAUCUAUAAUUUUUGAUUGUUCCAUGCUAUUAUAUUAUCUGUUUGGAUGUUUAAUGGGAUUUACUAAGCACUUUAUUAUUAUUUUUGGGACUAACCUACUAACCCAAGGCCCAGUGCAAAUUGCUGUUUUUUUGCCUAUUUCAGUGUUUCGCAGAAAAGGAAUAUCAAACGGAGUCCAAACGGAAUGAAACCUUCGGGAGAGUUAUUUUUGGAACAAACGUGAUCCAGAGGACUUGGAGUGGACGUCAAGAAAGAAGCGAGGAGGCCACGAGGCAGGGAGGCGUGCCUGCCCCCCUGGGCACGCCCCCCACCCUCGUGGGCCCCUCGCAGCUCCACCGACCUACUUCUUCCUCCUAUAUAUACCCAUAUACCCCGAAACCAUCCAGGAGCACCACGAAACCCUAUUUCCACCGCCGCAACCUUCUGUACCCGUGAGAUCCCAUCUUGGAUCCUUUUCCGGCGCUCCGCCGAAGGGGGAAUCGAUCACGGAGGGCUUCUACACCAACACCAUAGCCUCUCCGAUGAUGUGUGAAUAGUUUACCACAGACCUUCGGGUCCAUAGUUAUUAGCUAGAUGGCUUCUUCUCUCUCUUUGGAUCUCAAUACAAAGUUCUCCUCGAUCUUCUUGGAGAUCUAUUCGAUGUAACUCUUUUUACGGUGUGUUUGUCGAGAUCCAAUGAAUUGUGGGUUUAUGAUCAAGAUUAUCUACGAACAAUAUUUGAAUCUCCUCUGAAUUCUUUUAUGUAUGAUUUGUUAUCUUUGCAAGUCUCUUCGAAUUAUCAGUUUGGUUUGGCCUACUAGAUUGAUCUUUCUUGCAAUGGGAGAAGUGCUUAGCUUUGAGUUCAAUCUUGCGUUGCUCGAUCCCAGUGACAGUAGGGGAAACGACACGUAUUGUAUUGUUGCCAUCGAGGAUAAAAAGGUGGGGUUUAUAUCAUAUUGCUUGAGUUUAUCCCUCUACAUCAUGUCAUCUGCCUAAUGCGUUACUCUGUUCUUAUGAACUUAAUACUCUAGAUGCAUGCUGGAUAGCGGUCGAUGUGUGGAGUAAUAGUAGUAGAUGCAGAAUCGUUUCGGUCUAUUUGUCGCGGACGUGAUGCCUAUAUACAUGAUCAUGCCUAGAUAUUCUCAUAAUUAUGCACUUUUCUAUCAAUUGCUCGACAGUAAUUUGUUCACCCACCGUAAUACUUAUGCUAUCUUGAGAGAAGCCACUAGUGAAACCUAUGCCCCCCGGGUCUAUUUUUCAUCAUAUUAAUCUCCCGUCAACUAGCUAUUUCUGUCGCCGUUUAUUUUGCAAUCUUUACUUUUAAUCUUUAUCAUAAAAAUACCAAAAAUAUUAUCUUAUCAUCUCUAUCAGAUCUCACUUUUGCAAGUGGCCGUGAAGGGAUUGACGACCCCUUUAUCACGUUGGUUGCAAGGUUCUUAUUUGUUUGUGUAGGUACGAGGGACUUGCGUGUGGCCUCCUACUGGAUUGAUACCUUGGUUCUCAAAAACUGAGGGAAAUACUUACGCUACUUUGCUGCAUCACCCUUUCCUCUUUAAGGGAAAACCAACGCAUGCUCAAGAGGUAGCAAGAAGGAUUUCUGGCCCCGUUGCUGGGAAGUCUACGCACAAGUCAAGACAUACCAAGUACCCAUCACAAACUCUUAUCCCCCGCAUUACAUUAUUUGCCAUUUGCCUCUCGUUUUCCUCUCCCCCACUUCACCCUUGCUGUUUUAUUCGCCACUACUAGGGAAAAGCUUAUACACAGACGCUUACUAGUAGCACGGGUUUAUACCCCUCGCUACUGCUACUUACUAGUAUCGCGUGUUUUUACCCCUCGCUACUACUAAGUUGAUAGUAGUAGCGCGGAUUUUUAACCCUCGCUACUACUAAGUGGUCUCUGCCGUGCCCCCCCGGGACAUGCCAUAGUAGUAACGAGGGUUAUAAACCCGCGCUACUACUUUAUGAAUACCUGUAGCGUCGGUCAGAUGCCUACGCUACUAGUAUAUUUCCACACCGCCCACCCCCGAUCACCCCACCAACCGUCCCACCCCACCCACCACUGUUUGUCUAAAAAAAGGGAAACGUUUGCUUUCGGACUGCCGGCGCAAGCUCGCGCCGGUCGCCCGCGACCCGUCCGAUCUAGGAGGAUCGAGCGACCCCUGAUAUGCCACGUGUGCUUCCAGCGAGUCCUCCUUACCUUAUCUACAACGUGCGUUGGUUCUCCUCCACACGUCGCGCUCCUUAGCUUUUCUCUCUCUCUUCUUUCUCCACAGCUGCUAACUAUCUCCAUCGCCCCCAUGCCAAGCCAUGGACGGCCACACGCCCUCUCCUUCAAAUCCCGCCUGCUACUCCUCCGACGAGCUCCUCACACACUCAUAGCUCUACUACGUGCGACCUCCUCUGUUCCCCUUUUGCUGCAUGGUCUAUUGGAGUCAACACGAGGCACUAGCAGAUGCUGCACAAGCAGUAGCUGAUGGGGGCUGCCUGUUACCACACGCAGUGGCUGCUGCUAGCCGGCGUUCGCCGCAGCUGCUACCACACGCCCGUGGUGCUAGAACCGGCACGGCGAGGUACAACCGGCGAGUGGCCAUGCUGCAACCAGCACACAGUAGUGCUGGAACCGGCAAGCGAAGAAGGUGUCAAUUUUUGCUGGAACCGACCGCAAUUUUUGCUACCAUCAUCUUCGAGUUUUGCUGGAACCAACCCAUUGUUUGUUGCCACGGGUUUUGUUUUUGCUGGAACCAUGUACCACCGUAUUUGUUUUUUGCUGGAAACCAGCCCAAAUUUUGCUACCAUGUUUUGUUUUUGCUGGAACUAGCGCACCAUUUUGUUACCAUCGUUUUGGAUUUUUGCCACUACAGGUGUUGUUGAUUGCUACAUUCAUUUUUCAUGACGAGUUUUGCUGUUUCAUGCCUAUGGGAAUAAGAGCUGGAGGAUUGGGAUCGACUACUACUCGAGCUGGAAACCAUCUGCCAAAGCUGCAUCCAUGACACAAAAUGCUACAUCCGGCAUUGUUUUUUUCUGGAACCAUAGAGAUUCACAUCGACGCACAAACAGGCGGCGACAACGGUGAUCUUUUUUUCUGGAACCAGCAUGAUUUUUUGCUACGACCGGCAGACAUUUUUGCUGCCACCGACAACUGAGACGAGGUCGGCGGGUGCGGUCGGCGUUCCCAGUUUUCACCGGUUGCAAUGCGGUCGUCUCCAUCAUCGUUGCAGCAUCUGUUGUCUGGCCUUGUAGCAUCCACAACCUGCCGUUGAACCAUCGUCUGGGGCGCAGCUCACAACACCAUUCAAGCAACUCGUGUUGCGCUGCCGCCGGGAUUCAGCACAGCUCCCACGCGCGACCCUUACAACAACGCCUGCUACAGGCCUACAGCAAGGUGAGAAGAAAAGGUCGUGGGCAAUAUAAUCGUCGAGGCGGGUGAAAGCUGUAGUGUAGCAAUGGAGGAAGGCCCAGCGUCGCGAGAUUAAUUCGCGUGUGGUAGAAGACGACCUGGACGCUAGCGUGAGAAAACGAAUGGCUGUCGUUAUAAGGUUUGAAGCGAUAUGGGAAGUGGAUUAAAGAAUAGUCAACAGAUCUAAUGGUUGGUGGACAAAGCAUCCGACGGCUCAGGUCCGACCGGCCGAAACUAGCGCCGGUCCGCCGGCGCCUAGCAGCCGCCAAAAAAAACACCCAACCCUCGAUCCAGAUCCCUUCCACCUCCUCUCUUCUCCCGAUUCACCCCUCGUCUCCCUCCCAUCCCACGCUGCCGCCGCCGCCUCCGCCGCUCACCACCCCGGCGACCUCCCCACGGGCGAUCCCCAGCCUCUCCCUCUCCUUCUCCCCUGCAUCCGUCGCCCGCACCUUCCCUCCCAGUCCCAGAUCAACCCGCGGGUGAGCCGGCGGCCAGGACACACGCGAAGCGACGGAGGUCGCCUGCGUCUCCCCAGUCGCCCUGCCACUGCUUCCUUGCUUUUCUCUGCGGUAGGAGAAGAAAACCUUGUCGGGGUGCCCAAGCCAUGGAGCACCAUCGUCAAGGUGCUCGGAUUCGUUUCGAUUUUGGGUUGCUUCUGCUCAUGUUGUUGGUUGCUCUCUUCUCUUGUGUUGGUGAUGAUGUGAGGGUGGCCCUUCCUUUUCUUUGCUGCAGUGCAGGAGAAGAAAACCCUAGACCGACCCGAGGAUUCGUCCGACAACCACCUGAGGAGGAAGCAAGCCAUGGACGGACCUCCCUUUCCUUGAAUGCUGCGCCCUCCCACCCAUCUUCCUGCAGCUGCAGGUAACCCCGGCCCCUCCCUCCCUGCGUGCACAUGCUAGUCUGGUCAUUACCCUGGCUGCGUACAGUAGCAGUAAACAUUGUUAGCUUAAUCCAAACUUAUUAGUCUACAAGUCUACAUCGGUGUAGUAGUCUAGGAAAACUAGCUUGAGUCGAUUUGCUUUUCUUGUGUUACUAGUGUCUGGCCAGAAUUAGUAAGGUGUGAUCAACGUGGCCGUAUAAUUAGAUUAGGAAAAAUACUAACUUGAGUCCGACUAGGACUUGUCCUAGCUAUCUAGCUGCGUUGGUAGGAGUAUAAUACCAGGAUUAGGAAUUUGUAGUCCAAGUCGGUUAAUAGGUGAGUCUGAUUUGACUAGAACCUGUAUCCACUGGUGGUGGCUGCGUCCAUAUAUAUACACCAGCUGGGUUCAUUCAAUGGAGUAACCUACACUAGCUCAUUCACUACUAGUUAGAUCAAUGGAGUAACCUGUUAUUUCCUUUGCAUUUUUUACUGUAAAAAGUCAUGGCUCACCUAUUAACCGGCGGCCGUAGAAGGACUAAUCACCUAAUUGAAACACUAAUAAUCAGAAGAUAGAUUGAACUUCGUUUAACGGAUAUACAACAUAUUGAAUUAAUUUCUAUUUGGUCUAAUUGAUAUAAUCAUGUCUAAUAGAGUUCACAAUCUUUACUUUGAAGAUCUGUAGCUAGACGUUAGAACUGUUGACAUGCAAAUAAUUAACUAACUGCAUGUCGUACUUGAAUUACAGGUUUUUUGUUUUCGUCACUCCUUUGUUAUAUGGAAGAAGACUUCAUGGUUAGCAUUAUUUAUUAUAACACAUUCAUAUAAGAUUUUCUUGCCACUGUAAGUAGGAAGUUAAUUUUUUUGGUCUGUUUUUUUUCUGCGGGGAUUUUGGUCUGUUUUUCUAAUAGUAUAUAUGAUCUUUCAGUCACAGUUCCAGUAUUUUAGAACUAAAUCUCCCCCCUAAUUAAAAUGCAGAAACGUGUUUUCUUUCAUGAUGUUUCAGUCACUGUCUUAGAAACACUAGAAAAUAUCUGUCGACAAACUUCUUCAUGGAACUAAUAUUUUUAUGCUAAUGACAAAUUGGAUUUAUAAUCUUUAACCUCGAAUCUUUAUAUGAUUUUAGUUACUACCAUAUCUGCUCUUGCAGGUCUACUAGAGUAUCCACUUCUGAAGAUAUUGAAUUGAUUCAUCACUCCAUGUUUUUCUGGGUCGUUUAGUUAUCACCCUGUUGCCACAAAACCAUGGCAUUCUAGAAAAUGUAAGUAUAGUAGGUUGCUCACAAGGAGAUGAGAGAAUUCAAGUGUCACUUUUAGAGAUGUAUUAUGAGAUUGAUCCACUGCAUCAUUUCGUCAUACAAAUUUGUUUGUUCUUAUAUGUGCCUUCGGACUAGCUAUUUCCAUAUUUUGUUUUAGGAAUUUAUUAGGAGUUCUGUAAUUUGGAGUUCUCCUAACUUUGAACACUGCAUUGGAGUUCUGUAAUUUGGAGUUCUCCUAACUUUCGUCAUACAAAUCUUUUAUGCACUUUCUUGUUGAGUGCCUUUAUUUUAAACUAUGAGAUAUGCCUAUGUUUAAUUCGGAAAUCUAAAUGCAAUCUUAUGUUGUUCCACCGAGGUUGAUUUUCAAAAUGUGUAUAUCUAAUAUUUCUUGCUGCAGCUUUAAGCUUCACUGUCAUCUAACUUUGUCUAGUUAAUUUUUGUUAUCUGUCUUUGAACCUAUAAAAUGGGUGAUAUGUACACUUGUCAUUAACUACAUGUGUUUCCUGAACAUGUCUAAAGUUUUUAUAAGAAAUGCAGUUCUGAGCUCGGGCAAUCGUAGGAUGACUAGACACAUACUACAUAUGAUUUGAGAUGUAUAUGUAUGCAGUUUCACCCUCUGCUAAAAAAUGUCCUAUACAAUGUAGACUUUGUGAAGCCACAUGAGCUAGGGGUUGCACCGCAGGAGCAUAGCGUGUACAAGUACUAAACAUUGAAGAUUGCAUUGCAGCUCAUCAGUAUGCCUUCCUUGCAAUCUUUGAAGCCAAUUAAAUUCGGAAGUGUUAUUUUUUCUGUACAAGUUUGUAUGUGUCAAGUACUUGCUAAUUGAUGUUUUGAGGGGUGCUCAUAUACUUACUCGGCAACAUGGAAAGUUUUCACAUUUGUUCUAGCUGUCUCUAUGGGUUAGCGACUUAGCAUACAUGUUGUAAUAAGGUUUCACAUUUGCUUCUCUGACAAAUAAGGUCUUUUUAUUCAUAGGUAGAAGAUAGCGACAGAGUGCUGCAGGAUAAUGAGAUGUUGAAGCGGUAGACUAAAUCCAUGACACCGAAGUGCAAUUGUGGCAGAUUAUCUCUAUCUUUUCUUUUCAUUUUUCUUAUUAUUGAGUGAGAACAGAAUGAGGAACUGUGUGAUAGUACAUACAACAACUGUAGUAAAAAGAAACUUAUGUUUGCAAUUGUUAAUGACAUAGAUACUUGCAUGUUCUUUGAAGUGGUUAUUUGUGAGUAGCAAUGCAUAAUGAGGUUUUUUGGCUGAUUUAUUUCCUUCGGUUUUCGGUUAACCAUGAAAUAGGAGCCCAGCAGUGCUCACUAUUGUGUUUACUGGGAACUGUAUGCAUAAAAUGGAAUUGGUGGAUUUUAUUUUUUUAAUUAUAAAUUAGUUAGUAGUGGCGUGGGAAAAAACUGCGCGCUAUUUAGGAUACUAGUAGCGUUGGUAGUAUGGACAUGCUACUACUAUUUUGUUAGUAGUGGCGCAGGUACGAAAUAGCAGUAGCGUGGGUGGCACUGUAGGAGAUAUGCCCUAGAGGCAAUAAUAAAUGAUAUUAUUUAUCUCCGAGUUCAUAAUUAUGUUUAUGUUCCAUGCUAUAACUGCUAUGGUUCUCGAGUCUGCAAUAACCACGAGGCUCGGAGGAAGACUCAUAUGCACGUGUGGAAUAAUAAACGGUAAAAUGUAUCCCUAGUUUGGCCUCUAAGACUAGCUCAAGUGUUGCAUGAUGGUUAUGUUUUCCUGAUCAUGGGCAUGUCUAUGUCAGCAACCUUGAGGGCACAAUGUUAAGAGAACAUUUGUGUUGAAUCGACCCGGCAUGAUGUUAUGCUAUGAGAUUCAUUCGUCACAAGUUUAUUGGUACAUAACACAGAGAUGGUUAACGUUUGCAUGAUUCCUUAGACCAUGAGAGUAUCGAGUUUCUUCAUGCUUGCUUCAUGAACUUUGGGGUUUGUUAAACGUCAUCCGUAAAUGGGUGGCUAUUACGGCGGCUUACGGGUUCAUGGAAAAGUGUGUCAAGUAACUUGAUAGCUCAAGAUUGGGAUUUGCUCCUCCGACGAUGGAGAGAUAUCUCUGGGCCCUCUCGGUGUUACGGUAUCCAUCAUCGUCUGGCCAGACACUUUGUGAUUUGAUCACGGGGAUGCCGGAACACGAUAACGAGAAAAGAGAACAAUACCGGUAACGAGGUAGCUAGCAUAGUGGACAAGUUGUUGAUCCACAGGAAUGCCAACAUGUCUCACCUCGGGUAUUUGUAACAUAUCGCGAAGCAACAGGACUAGCACACGGCAACUGGGGGUUCACUCGAAUAUUUAUUCGUGUGGGUAUAGGGGUCAAUAUGGGUGUCCACGGUUCCGAUGUUGAUCAUUGAUCGGAAGGGGUUCCGGGUCAUGUCUAUACUUCACCGAACCUAUAGGGUCACACGCUUAAGGGUCAUCUAUCUGCUGAAUACUAGACAGGGAGUCUGAGAGAAAAUCACCGAAAAAGUUUCGGACAGCGGAAUCGUACCGCAGAGAGAGGUCAUCGGAUAAGUUUCGAUGAUACCGAAAAGUUGUUUCGGGAUACACCAUUAAGUCAAAUUGGUUUCGGCACAUGCCUGAUAAUUCUUGGAGGAUGCCAGAAUCAUUCUGGAAGCUUUUUGGAAUUUUCUGAGAUAAAAACCGGAAAUGUUCCGGAGCUGCCGGAGCCACUUCAGAUGCGUUUCGCAGAUGAAAAUCACUAAAACCGGAAUUGUUUCGGAACGCGUUGAAAAUCAUUUUAGUGGGUACUGGAAAUGUUCUUAGCCCACAUAAAUAUUUUCAGUUCGAUCAGACGCUGAAAAAUGUCGUCGUGAAUAGAGAAAAUCAGCUUUAUGGUUACUUUAUGAAAAGCCACCUUUUGGGGCUUUGCUCCAAAAGAUUUUGGGGAUGACAUGGAUGGAUAGGAGCCAUUUUUUGGGCCCCUCAUGGGGGUGUGGCCGGCCACAUGGGGUAUCCCCCCUUGGGGACCCUCUUGUUCCUUGGUUUCACUCCUAGGUCCUUGUGGAAGGACUUCAUUCAUGUGCAUUUUGGGUUUUUUGUGAAACUACCCUACCCCCUUGGGAUUUCCUAUAAAUAGAGGUGGAGGGGCAGCCCUCCACACUCAUCCCUUGCUCUCAUACACAUGCCAUGCAUUAUCUGGCUUCUUCUCUCCCUCCCACGAAAAGAGUUUCGUAGAGCCGUAAGGCUGUCUGGGUUCCGGCAGGAACUAGUUCUGGACGACGAAGCCCUGCCGGAUAGAUGACACCGUAUGUGUGCAACUCUGUAGAGAGAUCGUAGUUUCGGUCUUAGUUCGUGAGUGCCUCCCGAAGGGCUGUCCAUGUGACCGUCCGAGUUUUGAAGGUCCUCCCGAAGGGCUGUCCGAGUGACCGUUCGAGUUUCGAAGGUCCUCCCGAAGGGCUGUCCGCGACACCGUCCGGGGGGCUGUUCGACCGCCUCCCGGAGGGCUGUCUGAGGAGCAGAUGAGGGUAUACAUCCUCGCGGUUGGGAGGUUGUAAAUCCUAGCUGCGGGGAUCUGCACCGCCGAUCGUCAUCGACUCUACUUCCCGCUGCGCUACGAGUCGGUAACGAAAAAGAUCAAACCAUGUAUGCAGUCUCCAUAGUGGUCCUGGGCUGGUGCGUAGGUCGGAAAAUUUUUGUUUUCUGCUGCGUUACCCUACAGGCACAUGCUACUACUAACUAUUAGCUGUAGCGCGAUACUAGUAGCGCGGGUACCCGCGUUGCUAAUAGCCAUUUUACCCGCGCUGCUAGUAGCCUUUUUCCUAGUAGUGCGUCCUCUUUUUCCGUUCGCCCUUCCUCUUGCUUCUUGUGUAUCAGUGUGUUAGAUCGUUUGCCUUGCUGUCAUGGCUAGUCCUUCUAUCAUUGUUAGUACUCCCGAUCAUGAAGUUCUUAAUUUUAAACAAAGGAAGGGAGAAAAUCUAAAAGACGCUUGGCAUAGAAUUUGCAAUGCUCAGAAUAGAUCUAUUAGGAAGCAAUCCACUUUCGUUCUUCUUCGCAAUUUUUAUGUAGGCAUCACCCCUUGAAAUAGAUAUAUUCUUGAUACCAUUACCGGAGGGAAUUUCUUGGGUAGCCAUACUUUUGAUUCUUAUAAUGCUAUGAUAGAUUUGGUUGGUCCACCACCUCUUUUGGUUAAUGAAACUAUUUUAACUUUGGAACAUGUGAUGCAAAGGCUUGAAAUUAUUGAAAAUAAAGUUGCCACUGUAGAGUUGAUUGAAAAUUUGGAUAAAAAGAUCCACAACCAAAUUACCCAAUACGGAUCUAAGGUAGGAGUUGCUCUUAUUUUUUUUAAGAAAAGGAACCCAUAGUUAACGAAAAGAUAGAUCAAGAUUCCACAAGAAUUGAUAAAAUUGAGUUUAUUAUUACUAACUUAGGGUCUGCCUUUUCUUCCGUGAAAAAUACUCCAAAACCUCCUAAUGCUAAAGUUGCCAAAUUAAUGUAUGUUCCUAAAAAUAAGGGUGAAUCUUCUAGUAAGGGAAAUGCGGAUCUCAAAUUAAUAAGUGUUCACCCCAACUUUUUCGCUAUCAUUAAUGAACCUUUUGCUACAAAUAAAUUUCUUGAUUUCUUGCCUAUGAGUUUGAUCAUUAAUAAAAAGAAGGAAACUCCUAAGGGUUAUAAGUGUUCUAUUGAAGAAUUGCCUACCAAAGAUGAUAAUACCUAGAUCUAUCCUUGCCUUUAUGCCUAGCUAGGGGCGUUAAACGAUAGCACUUGUUGGGAGGCAACCCAAUUUUAUUUUUGUUUCCUGCUUUUUGGUUCUGUUUAGUAAUAAAUAAUUCAUCUAGCUUCUGUUUAUAUGUGGUUUCAUGUUUUAAUUAGUGUUUGUGCCAAGUAGAAUCUUUGGGAAGACUUGGGUGAAGUCUUUUUGAUCUUGCUGUAAAAAACAGAAACUUUAGCGCUCAUGAGAUUAGCUACAACUUUUUACUGGAGAGUGCUAUUUAGUUGAUUCUUUUUGCAGAUGAUUAAUAGAUAAAUUCCUCACGUCCAGAAAUUUAUUUUAGAAUUUUUGGAGUUCCAGAAGUAUACGUUUGAUCCAGAUUACUACAGACUGUUCUGUUUUUGACAGUUUCUGUUUUUCGUGUGUUGUUUGUUUAUUUUGAUGAAUCUAUGGCUAGUAUCGGAGGUUAUGAACCAUAGAGAAGUUGAAAUACAGUAGGUUUAAAACCAAUAUAAAUAAAGAAUGAGUUCAUUACAGUACCUUGAAGUGAUGGUUUGCUUUCUUAUACUAACAGAGCUCAUGAGAUUUUCUGUUAAGUUUUGUGUUGUGAAGUUUUCAAGUUUUGGGUAAAGAUUUGAUGGAUUAUGGAACAAGGAGUGGCAAGAGCCUAAGCUUGGGGAUGCCCAAGGCACCCCAAGAUAAAAUUCAAGGACAACCAAAAGCCUAAGCUUGGGGAUGCCCCGGAAGGCAUCCCCUUUUUCGUCUUCGUCCACCGGUAACUUUACUUGAUGCUAUAUUUUUAUUCACCACGUGAUAUGUGUUUUGCUUGGAGCGUCUUGUAUGAUUUGAGUCUUUGCUUUUUAGUUCACCACAAUCAUCCUUGAUGUACACACCUUUUGGGAGAGACACACAUUAAUCGGAAUUUAUUAGAAUACUGUAUGUGCUUCACUUAUAUCUUUUGAGCUAAAUAAUUUUGCUCUAGUGCUUCACUUAUAUCUUUUAGAGCACGGUGGUGGUUUUAUUUUAUAGAAAUUAUUGAUCUCUCAUGCUUCACUUAUAUUAUUUUGAGAGUCUUUUAGAACAACAUGAUAGUUUGCUUUGGCUAUAAAAUUAGUCCUAAUAUGAUGAACAUCCAAGAUAGGUAUAAUAAAAACUAUCAUAUAGAGUGCAUUGAAUACUAUGAGAAGUUUGAUACUCGAUAAUUGUUUUGAGAUAUGAAUAUGGUGAUAUUAGAGUCAUGCUAGUUGAGUAGUUGUGAAUUUGAGAAAUACUUGUUCUAAAAUUUGUGAUUCCCGUAGCAUGCACGUAUGGUGAACCGUUAUGUGAUGAAGUCGGAGCAUGAUUUAUUUAUUGAUUGUCUUCCUUAUGAGUGGCGGUCGGGGACGAGCGAUGGUCUUUUCCUACCAAUCUAUCCCCCUAGGAGCAUGCGCGUAGUACUUUGUUUCGAUAACUAAUAGAUUUUUGCAAUAAGUAUGUGAGUUCUUUAUGACUAAUGUUGAGUCCAUGGAUUAUACGCACUCUCACCCUUCCACCAUUGCUAGCCUCUCUAAUACCGCGCAUCUUUCGCCGGUAUCAUACACCCACCAUAUACCUUCCUCAAAACAGCCACCAUACCUACCUAUUAUGGCAUUUCCAUAGCCAUUCCGAGAUAUAUUACCAUGCAACUUACCACCGUCCCGUUUAUUAUGACACGCUUCAUCAUUGUCAUAUUGCUUUGCAUGAUCAUGUAGUGGACAUCGUAUUUGUGGCAAAGCCACCUUCAUAAUUCUUUCAUACAUGUCACUCUUGAUUAAUUGCAUAUCCCGGUACACCGCCGGAGGCAUUCACAUAGAGUCAUAUUUUGUUCUAAGUAUUGAGUUGUAAGUAAAUAAAAGUGUGAUGAUCAUCAUUAUUAGAGCAUUGUCCCAAGUGAGGAAAGGAUGAUGGAGACUAUGAUUCCCCCACAAGUCGGAUGAGACUUCGGACGAAAAAAAAGAGGCCAUAAAAAAAAGAGAAAGGCCCAAAUAAAAAAAAUAAAAAAAGAGAGAAAAAGAGAGAAGGGACAAUGUUACUAUCCUUUUUCCACACUUGUGCUUCAAAGUAGCACCAUGAUCUUCAUGAUAGAGAGUCUCCUAUGUUGUCACUUUCAUAUACUAGUGGGAAUUUUACAUUAUAGAACUUGGCUUGUAUAUUCCAGUGAUGGGCUUCCUCAAAAUGCCCUAGGUCUUCGUGAGCAAGCGAGUUGGAUGCACACCCACUUAGUUUUUUUGUUGAGCUUUCAUACACUUAUAGCUCUAGUGCAUCCGUUGCAUGGCAAUCCCUACUCACUCACAUUGAUAUCUAUUAAUGGGCAUCUCCAUAGACCGUUGAUAAGCCUAGUUGAUGUGAGACUAUUUUCUCCUUUUUUGUCUUCUCCACAACCACCAUUCUAUUCCACAUAUAGUGCUAUGUCCAUGGCUCACGCUCAUGUAUUGCGUGAAGAUUGAAAAAGUUUGAGAACAUCAAAAGUAUGAAAAAAUUGCUUGGCUUGUCAUCGGGGUUGUGCAUGAUUAAAUACUUUGUGUGAUGAAGAUAGAGCAUAGCCAGACUAUAUGAUUUUGUAGGGAUAACUUUCUUUGGCCAUGUUAUUUUGAGAAGACAAGAUUGCUUUGUUAGUAUGCUUGAAAUAUUAUUAUUUUUAUGUCAAUAUUAAACUUUUAUCUUGAAUCUCUCGGAUCUGAAUAUUCAUGCCACAAUAAAGAAAAUUACAUUGAGAAAUAUGCUAGGUAGCAUUCCACAUCAAAAAUUCUGUUUUUAUCAUUUACCUACUCGAGGACGAGUAGGAAUUAAGCUUGGGGAUGCUUGAUACGUCUCCAACGUAUCUAUAAUUUUUGAUUGUUCCAUGCUAUUAUAUUAUCUGUUUUGGAUGUUUAAUGGGCUUUACUAAUCACUUUAUUAUUAUUUUUGGGACUAACCUACUAACCCAAGGCCUAGUGCAAAUUGCUGUUUUUUUUGCCUAUUUCAGUGUUUUGCAGAAAAGGAAUAUCAAACGGAGUCCAAACGGAAUGAAACCUUCGGGAGAGUUAUUAACGUGAUCCAGAGGACUUGGAGUGGACGUCAAGAAAGAAGCGAGGAGGCCAUGAGGCAGGGAGGCGCGCCUGCCCCCCUGGGCGCGCCCCAACCCUCAUGGGCCCCUCGCAGCUCCACCGACCUACUUCUUCCUCCUAUAUAUACCCAUAUACCCUGAAACCAUCCAGAAGCACCACGAAACCCUAUUUCCACCGCCGCAACCUUCUGUACCCGUGAGAUCCCAUCUUGGGGCCUUUCCAACGCUCCGCCGGAGGGGGAAUUGAUCACGGAGGGCUUCUACAUCAACACCAUAGCCUCUCCGAUGAUGUGUGAGUAGUUUACCACAGACCUUCGGGUCCAUAGUUAUUAGCUAGAUGGCUUCUUCUCUCUCUUUGGAUCUUAAUACAAAGUUCUCCUCGAUCUUCUUGGAGAUCUAUUCGAUGUAACUCUUUUUGUGGUGUGUUUGUCGAGAUCCGAUGAAUUGUGGGUUUAUGAUCAAGAUUAUCUAUGAACAAUAUUUGAAUCUCCUCUGAAUUCUUUUAUGUAUGAUUUGUUAUCUUUGCAAGUCUCUUCGAAUUAUCAGUUUGGUUUGGCCUACUAGAUUGAUCUUUCUUGCAAUGGGAGAAGUGCUUAGCUUUGGGUUCAAUCUUGCGUUGCUCGAUCCCAGUGACAGUAGGGGAAACGACACAUAUUGUAUUGUUGCCGUCGAGGGUAAAAAGAUGGGGUUUAUAUCAUAUUGCUUGAGUUUAUCCCUCUACAUCAUGUUAUCUUGCCUAAUGCGUUACUCUGUUCUUAUGAACUUAAUACUCUAGAUGCAUGCCGGAUAGCGGUCGAUGUAUGGAGUAAUAGUAGUAGAUGCAGAAUCGUUUCGGUCUACUUGUCGCGGACGUGAUGCCUAUAUACAUGAUCAUGCCUAGAUAUUCUCAUAAUUAUGCACUUUUCUAUCAAUUGCUCGACAGUAAUUUGUUCACCCACCGUAAUACUUAUGCUAUCUUGAGAGAAGCCACUAGUGAAACCUAUGGCCCCCGGGUCUAUUUUCCAUCAUAUUAAUCUCCCGUCAACUAGCUAUUUCUGUCACCGUUUAUUUUGCAAUCUUUACUUUUAAUCUUUAUCAUAAAAUACCAAAAAUAUUAUCUUAUUAUCUCUAUCAGAUCUCCCUUGUGCAAGUGGCCGUGAAGGGAUUGACAACCCCUUUAUUGCGUUGGUUGCAAGGUUCUUAUUUGUUUGUGUAGGUACUAGGGACUUGCGUGUGGCCUCCUACUAGAUUGAUACCUUGGUUCUCAAAAACUGAGGGAAAUACUUACGCUACUUUGCCGCAUCACCCUUUCCUCUUCAAGGGAAAACCAACGCAUGCUCAAGAGGUAGCAGUACCAUAACCACUUGACUCAGCUGGGAGUUAAUCUUCCUGAUGAUAGUGUCAUUGACAGAGUUCUUCAAUCACUGCCACCAAGCUAUAAAGGCUUCGUGAUGAACUAUAAUAUGCAAGGGAUGAAUAAGACGAUUCCCGAGCUCUUCGCAAUGCUUAAGGCUGCGGAGGUAGAAAUCAAGUAGGAGCAUCAAGUGUUGCUGGUUAACAAGACCACUAGUUUCAAGAAAAAGGGCAAAGGGAAGAAGGGGAACUUCAAAAGAAUAGCAAACACGUUGCUGCUCCCGGGAAGAAGCCAAAGUCUGGACCUAAGCCUGAAACUGAGUGCUUCUACUGCAAAGGGACUGGUCACUGGAAGCGGAACUGCCCCAAGUAUUUGGCGGAUAAGAAGGAUGGCAAAGUGAACAAAUGUAUAUUUGAUAUACAUGUUAUUGAUGUGUACAUUACUAAUGCUCGUAGUAGCGCCUGGGUAUUUGAUACUGGUUCUGUUUCUCAUAUUUGCAACUCGAAACAAGGGCUACGGAUUAAACGAAGAUUGGCUAAGGACGAGGUGACGAUGCGCGUCGGAAAUGGUUCCAAGGUCGAUGUGAUUGUCGUCGGCACGCUACGUCUACAUCUACCUUCGGGAUUAGUUUUAGACCUGAAUAAUUGUUAUUUGGCGCUAGCAUUGAGCAUGAACUUUAUAUCUAGAUCUUGUUUGAUGCGAGACGGUUAUUCAUUUAAAUAAGAGAAUAAUGGUUGUUCUAUUUAUAUGAGUAAUAUCUUUUAUGGUCAUGCACCCUUGAUGAGUGGUCUAUUUUUGUUGAAUCUCGAUCGUAGUGAUACACAUAUUCAUAAUAUUGAUGCCAAAAGAAGCAAAGUUAAUAAUGAUAGUGCAACUUAUUUGUGGCACUGCCGUUUAGGUCAUAUUGGUGUAAAGCGCAUGAAGAAACUCCAUGCAGAUGGACUUUUGGAAUCACUUGAUGCUUGCGAACCAUGCCUCAUGGGCAAGAUGACUAAGACUCCGUUCUUCGGAACAAUGGAGCGAGCCACUGACUUAUUGGAAAUAAUGCAUACCGAUGUAUGCGGUCCGAUGAGUGUUGAGGCUCGCGACGUGUAUCGUUAUUUUCCGACCUUCACAGAUGAUUUGAGAAGAUAUGGGUAUAUCUACCCUCAUAUGGGCCGAUCUAAGUGGAGAAAGGAAAAGGGGAAGAGGAAAGGAAAUAGAGGGAAUAUGAUUCCCCCUACCUUUCCCCUCUCCCCUCUUUCCUUCCCCCCUCCGGAGAUAAGGAAAGGGGGAGGCUGAAUUGGAGGAGGCCCCAAGUAGGAUUCCUCCUACUUGGGGCGCCCCAAGGCUGCUCCCCUCCCUCUCCCACCUAUAUAUACAUGGGGAUGGGCGCCUAGAACACACACCAACAAUUGUUAGCCAUGUACGGCGCCCCCCUCCACAGUUUAUGCCUCCGGUCAUAUUCACAUAGUGCAUAGGCGAAGCCCUGCGCGGAUUACUUCACCAUCACCGUCACCACGCCGUCGUGCUGAUGGAACUCUCCCUCGACACUUUGUUGGAUCAAGAGUUCGAGGGACGUCAUCGAGAUGAACGUGUGCAGAACUCGGAGGUGCCGUACGUUCGGUGCUUGAUCGAUCGGAACGAGAAAAAGUUCGACUACAUCAACCGCGUAAACAAACACUUCCGCUUUCGGCCCACGAGGGUACGUGGACACACUCUCCCCCUCUCAUUGCUAUGCAUCUCCUAUAUAGAUCUUGCGUGAUCGUAGGAAUUUUUUGAAAUUGCAUGCUACGUUGGCUGCUGAUGUCUACUACGCAACUUUAUUCUUGUAGACACAUGUUGGGCCUCCAAGCGCAGAGUUUUGUAGGACAGUAGCAAUUUUUACUCAAGUGGAUGACCUAAGGUUUAUCAAUCCGUAGGAGGCGUAGGAUAAAGAUAUAUAGUCUCUCUCAAAGGACCCUGCAACCAAAUACAAAAAAUCUCUUGUGUCCCCAACACACCCAAUACAAUGGUAAUUUGUAUAGGUGCACUAGUUGGGCGAAGAGAUGGUGAUAAAAAUGUAAUAUUGAUGGUAGAAAUAUAUUUUUAUAAUCUGAAUAAAUAAAAAUAGCAAGGUAGCAAUUGAUAAAAGUGAGCACAAACGGUAUUGCAAUACUUAAAAAGUGAGGCCUAGGGUCCGUACUUUCACUAGUGCAAUCUCCCAACAAUGCUAAUAUAAUUGGAUCAUAUAACCAUCCCUCAACGUGCGAGGAAGAAUCACUCCAAAGUUCCUAUCUAGCGAAGAACAUAAGAAUAAAUUGUUUGUAGGGUACGAAACCACCUCAAAGCUAUUCUUUCCGAUCUAGAGUUCGUACUAAAAUAACAACAAGCUAUUCUUUCUGAUCGAUCUAACCAAGAGUUCGUACUAAAAUAACACUAAAGCAAAUUCAGAUUCAUAAUACUCAAUCCGACACAAAGAACUUCAAAGAGUGCCCCAAGAUUUCUACCGGAGAAACAAAGACAAGAACAUGCAUAAACCCCUAUGCAUAGAUUACCCCAAUGUCACCUCGGGAAUCCGCGAGUUGAGUGCCAAAACAUAUAUCAAGUGAAUCAAUACGAUACCCCAUUGUCACCACGAGUAUUCAAUUGCAAGACAUAUAUAAAGUGUUCUCAAAUCCAUAAAAGUAUUCAAUCCUAUAACAACGAAAUCACAAAGGGAAAAACUCAAUUCAUCACAACAAGAUAGAGAGGGGAAAACACCAUAUGAUUCAACUAUAUUAACAAAGCCCGCGAUACAUCAAGAUCGUGACAUCUCAAGAACACGAGAGAGAGAGAGAGAGAGAGAGAGAGAGAGAGAUUAAACACAUAGCUAUUGGUACAAACCCUCAGCCCCGAUGGUGGACUACUCCCUCCUCAUCAUGGUGGCCGCUGGGAUGAUGAAGAUGGCCACCGGUGAUGAUUUCCCCCCUCCGGCAGGGUGCUGAAAAGGGUCUAGAUUCAUUUUCGGUGGCUACAGAGCCUUGCGGCGGCGGAACUUCUGAUCUAGGUUAACCCCGAGGGUUUCUGGAAUUUUUGGAAAUUUAUAGUGUAAAGAGAGGGUGCGGGAGGCCACCGAGGUGGGCACAACCCACCUGGGCGCGCCUAUGCCCCCCUCGGGGCACCCCCUAGGUGCUGCUCUGGCCCAUCCUAGGUGUCCUGCUCCAUAAAAAAUCUCCAAAAAGUUUCACGGCGUUUGGACUUCGUUUGAUAUUGAUUUCCUGCGAUGUAAGAAACAAGCAAAAAACUGCAACUGGCACUGGACACUGGGUCAAUAAGUUAGUCCCAAAAAGUGAUAUAAAGUUGCUAUAAAAUGAUUGUAAAACAUCCAAGAAUGAUAAUAUAUCAAUAUGAAUACUUCAUAAAUUAUAGAUACGUUGGAGACGUAUCAGCUGCCUCCCGAGGAGUGGAGAUUUCUAUGUAGGUGCCCACCUCGUGAGGUUGAGGUGACGCAAGCCAUGACGACCAAGGCCAGGCGGGCGCAGAGGAGCAGGUUUCCUCUUUGGUGCUAAGGAGGCAAGCGUAGGCGUGGGAUCCCUUCCCGCCUACAUUUUGGGGGAAGAGGACCGAGGCCACUAUAAAUAUAGGUUAGCCACCACCAUAGGGGAAGGCCGAUCCCUUUCCACCCUCACCAGAGCAGACCUCGCGAGGUUGUUCAUCCCUUAUACUAGUUCAUCCUCAACCCCUCGUGAGGCUAAUCCACCUGAAAGUAGGAGUAGGGUCUUACACCGCAAGGUGGCCCGAACCUGGGUAACUGAUGUGUCCAUCUUCUUCCUUCUUCACCGAGUUAGGCCGUGCGGACGACGAGCUGGCUGGCUAAAGAGGUCGAGUUCUUCGCACACGCCCCAGAGUUCGAACCUUUCUUGGGUCUGCGGAGCCCUGAAUCUGACAAUUUCCUUUUCUGCAAUGAUACAUUUUUAAUAGCUAGAUCAACAAUUAUUCAUGAAAUCACGGUUACAUCAUCAUUAGAACAUCCAAUAGAAACUUUGGUGGAUUAUCGGGUCAAUUCUCGAUGAACCGAGGAUGGUUCGAAAGAAAAUCCGAUGGGGGUGGAUGUGUACUAGAGAGACAUUGGAAGAGAAAAAAUAUAUAGGUUGAAAACAAAUUUAAAUCUCGAGUGAGGUGGUUUUUGUGUUGGAUACAUUUGCCCUUGAUUAGCUACUCCAUACAACUUCAUCAGCAUAGACACACAAUUCCAAAGGCCAACUUGGCAGAAUCCUAGUUGAAUAUCUUAACGCUCUUACUGCACUUGAACAAUGAGAUUUUGAAAAGAAGUCUGGGAAACAUGCAUUUAAUUCUAAUAUAAUCCCUAGAAAAAAUGGUAUAAAAAACCGCUUUCAUGCACCUAGUGAAUAAAUUGCUUUUCCUAGUAUAUGAGAGAGGGGAAUUUUUUCGAUUAAACUUCACAUUCAUGCUAAUAAAUUUGUGGUGAAUUUAAACUUUCAUUCAAAUCACUGAGUCAAUUUGCUAUAAAAUUUGACAUGACCUUUGCUCUUAUUUAGAGUUUUGGUUCAUUCUCAAACCAGAAAUAGUAUGAAGGACUUAGAAAUUAAUAGUACAAUUCAAUGUGAAUUGGAAAUUCAUUUAUAAAUAAUAAACAACUGAUAAGGGAAAAUCAAACUUUAUUGAUAAUUGGGAAAUAAUACAAAGUUAUGUUACAAAAAAAUAAAGGAAACUUUAUUUAAAAAUGCCAUUACAAAUUCUUACAAAAAGAAUGAACUAUAGUAAAUCUAUCUAUUUUCUAUCCUAUUAUAAAUCUUCAAGAUCUUCUUGAUCUUCUUCAUUUCCAAAAUCAGCAAAAGAAGUACCAAAGGAAAAAAAGAAAUUAUUAUUGUUAAAAGCGCCCCCUCCUUCAUGGAGGGAUAGUAAGAUUGAGCCCACCUCCAUCCUCUUCUCAGUUUCCCAAGUCGUCCUUCGUCUCGGUUCUAGUAUCACGUUAGAUCUCUGAACUGAAGCCAGAUUAAGCUCGCCGUUUCCGGUGGGUCGUCGGCGUCGGAGUGGACGUUGGAGGGGCCAGUGUUUUGUGUGGCCGGGAGGGAGGGAGUGGGUUGGGUUCGUUGGUGGGUGACGUCGGCCCCGCAACCCUCGCCUCGCAACUCGUCGUUGCUGCCUUUCUUACGUGUCUGUCAGUAGGAGUGGAGCCAACCACCGCUCUCCGUCACGCUAGGCCUUCUGGUGCGGAAAGAUAUUUGUGAUUCGUAAAUGAUAAAUAAAAAUAGGUUGUUAGACGUUUAUUGAAAUGACACCAGCUGAAGGUCAACGUUUUCUGAGACCUUUUCAUAUUUCCAGUACAAUUUAUCCAAAACUUAGUUACCACAGUAUUCAGAGGAGCAUGCCUGGAAGUGUCGUAUUCCAUUUUUCUCUUGUUCGGAGCAUACAAUGUACACUGAUUUAUCUACUACUACCUCCGUUUCUAAAUAUAAGUCUUUUUAGAUAUUUCACUACAGACUACAUACGAAGUAAAAUGAGUAAAUCUACACUCUAAAAUAUGUCUAUAUACAUCCGUAUAUAGUUCAUAGUGGAAUCUCUAAAAAGACUUACAUUUAGAAACGGAGGGAGUGUAUGGAACUUGCAGAAAUACGAGUAUAGCGACACCAGCUUGCUGACAUGCACUCUCUCUCUCUCUCUCUCUCUCUCUCUCUCUCUCUAUGUUUUGACAGCUUGGCCGCCCUUUGUUGCUGCUGUCUGCUGGAAGCUUGCUUCUAAGUUCUAAGCGAGAGGGGACAGAUUUGGUGCAGCUAUGUGUUCCAUAUUGAAAAUUGUGAUUGGUUGCUAAUUAGUACUCCCUCUGUCCUGUAAUGUAGGACGUUUUUGCAAACUAACAUAGCUUGCAAAAACGUCUUGCAUUAUAGGACGGAGGGAGUAGGAGAUUACAAGAACUCCUUGCCGUCAUGUUUGUAUGUUCAGAUGAUUGCUGCACCUUUUCACAAAAGAAGAGAUGAUUGCUGUACCCAGUGAACAAGAAAAAUCGAGCAUGAAAGCUCUAGCAAAGCCAGAAUACCCUGAAGAAAAGGCUAAUCCACGGCAUGCUGUCUGAAGAUAAAACUAUUCACAGUAGAAUAUACUACCGUUUAUGUCAGACACACACCAAUAAUAACUUGGAAAUUCAGCAGGGUUUCAACAACAUAACAAACUUGGUAAUCCAACAGGAGUUCAAGAAAUUCAGCAGGGUUUCAACAACAUAACAAACUUGGAAAUUCAGCAGGGUUUCAACAACAUAACAGACCACGACAGUACUAAGGGAGUGCCACUAGUGAGCAUCCGACAGAUUACUGCUGCACACCAUUACAGCAGCAUACACACACAUACACAUAACAGGACGGAGGAGAGGCGAAAGCAUCAACUGAAGGCCGUCACUCAGUGGCAACCAGCGGCAUGUUUCUGCGGCCUGAUCCAGUCGUGCAGCACCAUGGUCACCCUGUCGUGCUGCUUCACGGAGGAUCCGUGCAGGAGCGGGGCGGCGCGGGCGAGGACGCGGUUGUAGUGGACGUACUCCUUCUGCCGGAACCUCUCCUGCUCGGGCGGCGUCAUCUCCUCCCACUCGGCGUGCAGCUUCUCCGACAGGCUCCGGUCGAUGUUGUACCUGGUGGCGCCGAAGCACGUCUGGCUCAGGACCCGCCUCGCAAGGGUCUGCAGGUCGGGCACACGAGCCCCGUGCGUCGACCACCAUUCAACU